rnacentral:lncRNA from 1 species
GAAUGAUAGGAACCUAAUUGUGAAUUGCCUUAGCACAGAAGAUAAACAAAAAAAAUGUUUAUUUGAUUUUCCUCACCUUUAAUCAAUCAAAAAUAAUAAACCCAGAAAAGUUCAUGAUGAUGUGUCAUGUUGUUAACACAUGUUCCCUAACUUUCCAAGCUGGAACGUCUUAGAAAUCAAGCCAUUAAAAUCUAGCCACGUAUAGCAAACGGAGACAAGUGUACUUCCUACUUUCCAACAACAAAGUCAACCCAUCUACUGCAAUCCUGAACUGACAAAUGUCCUCUUCCCGCAGCAAGCAAGUGUGCUUCUUUUAUCUGCAGUAGCAUUGUAACAAGGCAAAACCAAAGAAAUCUGAGUCAUUGAAAAUCAGGUGCUGUAGUCCAUCCACCUCUAUCUAACAUUACCCAAACUGGUCAAAUAUUAUCUUAUUAUAUAAUCUCAAUCUUACUGAGAUUUUGCCUUGAAGUCAAAUCAAAUUGCUGCUGCUGCUGCUUGCUUGUUUGCUUUGCUUUCCAGUUUUCACCUUUCUUCUUUCACUUCCCAAACUACAAAAAGAAAAUCUAGAAGAAGUGAUGCUUUUCCGCCCUCAUAUUGAAUAUGGGUGCUGCUUGCUUUCUCAUCGUAAGGAGUCACUCCUGUUAAUCACAGUUUAACACAUAUAUAAAAAUAAUUUAUUAAAAAUAUCAUACUGCUAUUAACAGGAAUAUAAGAAUUCCUACUUAUAUAAUAAAAAAGAAAAAUGUUUUAUAUUAAAUAUUCAUAUCUCGAUAUAAAAGGUCAUUUAUUUUCAAUUCUGUGAUAUCAGCUGUUGAACUUCGAGAAUAAGUAGUUCAUAAGAUCAGCUCAUACGCUAUCAAUAUUAUAUAUUCCAUGUCCCAAAAUAGUUUAAUUGUUAAGCAAACCAUAAUUGUUAUCUAUGUCUCCCUGUUUGCUGUCUACAGGACACACACACAUAUAUAUCAUUUAAUUUAUUUGGAUCAGCAAUGAAGCUUUUAGAAACUUUAAUUUUAUGGCUCUGACACGUGCCCAAAUAUUAUGUAACCAUAAUAUCCAUUUUAUGUGGUCGUGGAAAGUUUUAUGCAGUGUGUGUGUGUGUGCGCGUAUCGUCACUAUAUAUAAAAAUAAUUUUUGCUUGUUGAAGGGUUUGUGAUGAUGAAUUUGAUGCAUGCCUUAUGCCUAUACGUACACAUUAUACCAGUUUAGGUAAUUACUUGUCGCAAAUCUAGGGUUGGUAGCACCUGUAUGUAUUAUAUUAAAAUUGGGUUGAAUCGUCUAUAAAAACGUUGCUAGCUAACUUGUUCUUGUUGAUGUCAGGCCUCCAAAUCUCCCAACAAACUUUGAAUAUCAAUGGCUUCUGUUUUUUAGAGAAUUAUGGGGGUACGUACUUAAUUAACAAAAUUAAAACUUCACACACACACAUAUAAUCCCUUUUUAUUAAGGGAUUCUUUAAAUAAUUUUAUUUGAUGGAUGCUUUUUAGAGUAUUCUACAAAAAAAAUUUCAACGAUCCAAAUUAUUUAUUUUUUAGGUCUUCAUUCAUAGAUCAUCCUUGCAAAAAAAAAAGAAAAAGAAAACCAUUUAGACAUAUAAUUGUGUUCUACAAAAUCAAUUAAUAUGGUGCUUCAAGAAAGUAUUAAAAUUUCAAUAAUUUAAUUGAGUAGUCAAAUAAUAUCGGAUUCAAGUGAUUUUUAAUAUAUGUAUAUGAUCGAUCGGCUUGUUUUUUUUAAUAGUUUAAAUUAAACUAAUUUACAGAGAAUAAAUUCGAACUUGAAUGCAAAAGAACUUUAAACUCACUGUCUUGAUCAACUGACCUAACCUAUAUUUAUCGAGCGGCUUGUUUCUAAAUGAGUUAGGCUCUAAGUUUUUGGUGGAUGUAAGAGAAAUAUAGAUCGACCUCUUAAUAUUCUACGCAUCCAUGCACGUAGGUGUUGAGUAUGACAACAUGAGAUCUAUAUGUAUAUUUUUGUACGAUAAAUUUGAGGAUUGAAUUACAGAUCUGAAUACAGAGAACAUGGCCGUUGACCGUUGACCCCCCUCUUGAGGGCUUAGCUGUUGUCACUUGUGUAAACACGUGUACAAGAAUUGUGGUACCAAGAUUGUAUGCGAUGCAUGGCAAAAUUACACGUAAAAUGACCGACGUUGUUGGUUGUUCAACCUUUUUUUAUUUUUCGGCCACUGUGCUUUGACUUCACUUAUAUGAUGAUGAUGUGGUACAAGUGAUAUUAAAAUUAAUGGAUUAUAUUAAUAGCUAGUGGGGAUGGAUUUAGUGCUGCAGGGAAAACCUGAUACAUGCAUGAUAUCGUCUCAAUUUUUUUUCUCUUUAUAAUCUUGAUUUCGAGUGCAUAUAUAACUGCUCUUAAUUACAUAAGUUGAUCUAAAAGCGUAUUUUUUUUAUAAAUUUAUUUAGAAUAUUGGGACCUUUAAAAAAAAAAAAAUUUUGAUUUUUGCUUCUCUAAUUUCCGUUGAUAUGCUGAAUGUAAAAGAGUUUGGACUGGGUCGAGCCCUUUUUGCUUCCAUUAACUUGGGCUAUUGAUUUAGUUUUGGGCCAGCUUCCACCAAUGCUUAGGCCCUGUCUUAAUUAUUGGGUAGGGAGCUCACUCAAACUAGAGAGCAACCUUUAAACCCAACCCAACCCAACCCACAACUAUAUGUACUCUGCCAUGACCUCUCUCUUUUUCUCUGCUACAUAACAAGGUGUUAAGCAGUUCCCAAAAUAGGUGAUGGCCAUCAUCACCCUCCAUUGAAGCCACAUCAGUUUCACUACAAUCUCGUGCGUGCCUUCAUCAAAUACACCCAUUUUGGGAAGUGUGUUUUUGGGGCUCCACAUUUUCGUUUUUGCAUUCAGUCAGGACAAAUCGUUUCAAGCUUUGAAUAUUUUCUCCUCCUAAUACAAAUGUUGCUCGAACAUUAUUGUCUGCAACAGUUGAAUUAGAUUUUCCCACGCUGAUCUCAAGCUGAUGUACUGGAUCAACAAAAUGGGCUCAUACCCUUUUCGGUCUGUGAUCAUUUCCUUUUCAUAGACUGGAGGAGAUUCAUAUACAAGAUAUAUAAGUCUCCCCUAGACUUGUGCACAUAAGCCCAACAUUUCAUGAAAUGGUUAGCAGAUCGUCCAUCCACAACGUGACGAUACGUUAUAGCAAGGCAAAUGCCAGACUUUGGAAAAAUUGUUGCUUGUAAUGCAUGAACUGAAAAUACAAAUGUGCUUGUGUCAUUGGAAACUGAAAUCAAAAUGCAUAUUAUUAUUGUUAUUAUUCAAAUCAGGCAAUUGAGGAACAAGGUGAUCAAAUUCUUUGACAUGCCUUUGGUGGUUGCCUAUAAUUAAUAAGAUGGUUGAAAUUGGCCGUGGACUCAACAAUGUCGAGUGCGACUGAAGAGUCGUUUGCGGAGUAGAGGAUGUAAGGCAUGGUGGGAGGUGGGGGACAAGUGAGGUGGCCACAGAGAGGGAAUAAGCGUUGGAGAGUGAGAGAGAGAGAGAGAGAGUGUUUGAAUGUUGGAAGGAGAGUUUGGGUGAGGGAAUUCAUAGAAGUAGAGGCGUGUAACAGGUCGGGGCAUGGAAAAAGCCAAGGCAAGUCUAAGAAAGUGAGGGGAAGAGAGGUGGGGAGAGAGACUUGGCAUUGCUCUAGGACCUUAUAAACCAACUUUCCACUAGUACAUGAAUUAAUUUCGGGUCUUAUAUGUAGGUGUGUGGUAGAGAUACGUGAAAGGUGCACCAUUAUAACAAACUCACGCGUACAACUGAAAAGAUACAAAAUAUCUCGUAAAUAAUUAAAGUUUAUUUGAGAGGGAUCUCUUGAUGAAAUAAGUUUGGGUGGGAAGGGGAUGUUGAAAGUAACAAAAUGUGAGGAAACUUCAUGGAAAGUGUCACCUUAUUUCUCAUUUUCUGACGACCUUUUUUUUUUAGGUACACAUUUUUUCUGAUAACUUUAAUUCACCAUAUUGUGUGAUAUUAACAGAUGUGUUCACAAAUGUCCAGAUCAUAUGGGAAUCUCUAACGCGGAGUCAUUAUUAGUUACCUUGAAAAAAGAAAAUCAAGAAGAAAAUCAACUCUCAAAACCAAAACCACAACCACAACCACAACAAUUGAUGACAUGUUGGAAUAUGACAUGUUGGAAUGUGGGUCCCAGCGUCCACUAAUCCCACAUCGUUUCAGCAGCAGGGCCCCACCAGAGGAUUCCCAGCGGAAUCCGACAUCAGACCACAAAUCAAAGUACCAAACAGAUGUUCCAUCUGGCAAUGCUAACCUUCAAAGUACGUUAAAGGACUUUUAGACGAAAUUAGAAGCGCUUUUCGCUCCGUAAAAGUGCUUGUAGCAACGCGUACCAAACUUCUGUUUUUUUGAAUGAUCCGAAGAGAGAAACACUUUUGCAACGGAAAUACCAAUAUUUUGUAUUUCGGUCAUUAACGCUGUAAAGAUAACAAAACUAAUGCUAUCCUCUUUUCACAGGUAGAGCACAGAACGACAGAAUAGGAACGUUCGCUCCCCUUCAUCCAUCGUGUGAAUAGUAGUAAUUUCCAAUCCAAGACAUUUACUUUGCCUUCACUUCCUCAAUAAUUUCGAUCACGUUUUAAUAGCUUCCUUCGGUCAUGCUUAAUGGCAUCUAUCACGUUUCCACAAUGAGCUUUAGAAGAAGAAGAAUAAGUCAACUGUAUCAUAUCAUAUAAUCUCCACAUUCCGCGUUUUCUCUGCAACUUUUGGUUCUCUGGAUCCGAAAAGCCUCUAUCUUUAACCCUUCUUAUCCUCAACUGCAUAUUCUCCCCGAGAUUUGGUCUACUUUUCCGCCUGAAUUCUGUUUCCCGGGUAUUCAGAAUCUCACUUCCAUCAUUCAGCUUAUCUGGUAAAUGGUCAUAGGCUCUCAUCUCCUCGGCUCAAUAGGUAUUUGGUCUUCUUUCGUUGCCUUCUCACCCAAUUCGAACUUUUUGCUCUUUUCCAAGUUUACCCAAUGGAUUUGUAUUGUUGGUUUAUCUUUUGCUUCACCAGACACUGUAUUUCUUUUCAUGCUGAGACUUGAAGAUUCAAAAUUUGAACAUUUUCUUUCCUGUUUCUUUUCCUGUGGAUGUAUUCUCGGCAUCCAAACAGAAUUUAUUUAAAUGAUGUCUUUGCCCUUUGGCCUUUGGAUAUCUUGCAUAGACUGAAUUUUGAGUAUGUUCAUCAGUAUCCUGCAAAGUUACUAUUUUUAUUUCUAAAUCACUAUUAUCAUUGGUUGAAGAAAUGGCUAUCUUCAGGCUUUUUAUUACAAAAUAUUGCUAAUUAUGAUUUAAAUAAUACAGUUGGAGGAAAAAUGGCACAUUCCAACUCUGGGGAGGACUUCUUGAAGAAUUUCAAAAUUCCAAAGUAUGUACUAGUGCCAAAAUCAGAGAGUGAAAAUGUACCUAAUGUACCCGAUGUACCCCAGUGUCCAGUUUUAGUGUUUAUCAACUCCAGAAGUGGUGGUCAGCUAGGUGGGGAUCUUCUUGUAACGUACCGUUCCCUUCUCAAUGAAACUCAGGUAUUAAUAUAUUUUUUUCUUUUCUGUAUGGUCAAAUGUUGUUAAAUUUCUCAGUUUAAAUUAUGGAUUGAUUAUUACUUCAGCGGUUGCAUUAAGCGGCUAUUUUUAUUUCAAUUUUUUUGCGAAUCUGAUCUUGAACUAGCUUAUUUGUAGGUUUUUGAUUUGGGGGAAGAGACUCCUGAUAAGGUGCUGAGCCGAAUCUAUGCCAAUCUGGAAAAACUCAAGCAGAAUGGGGAUGAAUUUGCUACAAAGAUUCAAGAGAAAUUGAGAAUAAUUGUGAGUCAAACUAUAAUCAACAUAAAUGGUGUGCUAUUUUUAUUUUUCAUGACCUUGCAGGCUGUUGCCCUUUCCUGUUUCUGACAUGUACCAAAUCCUCUAGGUUGCAGGUGGUGAUGGAACUGCUGGUUGGCUUCUUGGAGUUGUUUCUGAUCUCAAAUUAUCUCAUUCACCCCCAAUAGCAACAGUACCCUUGGGAACUGGAAACAAUCUUCCAUUUGCAUUUGGAUGGGUAGGCAAUUUCCUGUCCCAGUGGCUUUUAUGGUCUAGAAUUACCUAAAUCAUAUUUGGAUGCUUGGUUGAGUUGUCAUUUAUGCAAAACCACAAUAUGCUUUGAUAUUAUGCAGGCAGUCAGUAGUUACAACUAGGAUUGCACUCAUGUCUUGUUGAUUCUUGUACCUUUCAGAGUUCAACUUGUUAAUGCACUCUAUGGAAGGGCAUUUUGCGCCAUUCUUAUUGUAGAAUUAGUUCUCUUCUUAAUCUUUUCUUUUUACUCUCUAAAAUCUCAGAGUUUUUUAUUUAUUACAAGUAGAUGUGCAUACUACCAAUACAUUUCUCAAUUUCUUGUUUGAAGACACAAUAUUUACUAGCAAUCCUUAAGUAGUGCUGCCAUGUUUGUACUUUACUCAAGUUUAAAUUUUCUGAGUGAUUUGUAAUUCUCAUGGCUAAGGUAAUAGUGCAGCCAUUGAUUGCUUGCAUCAUGCAUGACAUGCUGUUUGAUAAUUUUUCAGGGGAAGAAGAAUCCCGGGACAGAUCCUCAAUCUGUGAAAUCGUUUAUGAAUGAAGUAAAGAAAGCCAAGGAAAUGAAAAUAGACAGGUGUGACAGUCAUCAUUGUUUCUUUUUACAUCCUGAUUUUUGUAAAUUCGAAGUGCUGUAGAUUCACAGUACUGUUUCUAGAUGAUUCACAUCUCAUCAUUUAAAUCAUCUCCUUAAUUGUUUGCAUAUAAUAGAUUUACCUGUCUGCAGAUGGAGUUUUGAAGUAUGAAUUCUUUGAUGACUAAUUUUAUUCAGUCCUUUUUUUUCCUUAAGUCUCCUUCAUCUUCAUUGCAAGUUUUAACCAGUUCUCCUUUUUUAGUAAAUGCAAAUUCUGAUUUUGUUUUUUCUUCCUUAUUCUGAUAUAGCUGGCACCUCCUCAUGAGGAUGAAGACUCCAAAAGAUGGUCCAUUGGAUCCCAUUGCUCCUCUUGAGCUUCCACAUUCUUUGCAUGCAUUUGGUCGAGUCUCUGAUACAAAUGAGAUGAGCGUGGUAAGUCCUCUCUUAUCUGUUUUAGUAGCGAAAAGAACCAGAUCCAUAGAGUAGCAGGCAGUUAAAAUCAGUUACUGAGCCAGCUUUCUGCUCGUGGUUGAUUUGCUUUUGAACAAAUCUAAUGCAGAUAGAUUUUAAAAUUUCAUGGUUUCAGUGUUGACCUUAGAUGUGUCAAAAUUGCAUAUCACUUGCGUAUGAUUGCAAAAGGGCCUGAUUUCUAACUAGAGUCUAAUUUUUUUAUUCUUGCUUUGUUCCUUCAUCAACCUAUAUAACCAAAUGGAGUUAACCUUCAACUUUACAAUUUUUAUGCGCUUUUUCUAAGCACAAAUUUCAACCAAAAUUAUCUAGGAGUAAUCAAGAAAAUGCAAUCAACUGAUGGAAUGAUGUUUAAAAGAAGUGUCACUUUUAAAUGUUUGACGUUCCUUUUGUGAAAGCUCAAAGCUCUUCUCUUUCUUGUUGGAGACAAGUUUGGUCUGCUGUUUUAUACACAAAUGUUUGGGUGCUUUGCAGGAAGGUUGCCAUACAUUUCGUGGGGGGUUUUGGAACUACUUCAGUAUGGGUAAGAGUUCUUCCCUUGGAGUCCUGUCAAAUAUUUUGAGCCUUAAUCUGCAUAGCUAUCUCAUUCUUUCUAGAAAAUGUCUCCUUUUGCUGAGUCGAUUUAAGUUCCACCAUUGUCACUUGUUUGUAGUGAUAUUCAAAAUUAGUAUCUUAUCUUCUUUUUUCCUGUAUAUAAGCCAAAUAAUUGUUGAUAAUAUCUUCCUUAACUGUGUUUUUUGAAAUGGACUACAUGUUUAUGGUUGUAGGGAUGGAUGCUCAAGUAUCAUAUGCAUUUCAUACUGAGCGAAAGCUGCAUCCCGAAAAGUUUAAAAACCAGUUUUCAAAUCAGGUACAUACUUCUUGAAGAACCAUUAUGAUCCAUGGAUAUCGUGUAGUUAAAUCAUGAUAAUUAUUUGAUAUAUUACUUAAGAAAAUUUAUAAUAGAUAACACAAACUAAAAGGUAGGAUGCAAAUUAGAAAUAUUAGUUGGUACUAUACGCCAUAGGUGUUAAACAUAGAGCAGCUAACUUUUACAAUGUACAUGAACCUCGAUAGAUGAAUUUGUCACGCAUUUUUAAACUUGAUCCUCAUACACCAUUAGUGCUGAUGCUAACAUGAACAGCGAGAUGAAGGCAUUCACAAUCCAUUAAAUAACUGAAAGACCUUAGGGUUUUAAUUCUGUUCUUUUUCGGAGUAAUGAAUUCAUGAACUUCUUAGUAAUUUUGCCUGCAACCCCUCAUUUUUCAUGAACUAGAGUUAGUCAUAUACAGUAAAUUUUCUGGCGUGGAUAAAUCUGUUACAGCAUUCAUGUCAUUCAGUUUAACUGGAUCUUGCUCUGCAUAUUAUGAUAUAGAGAGAAACACUACUUAUUCCUCUGCUCUUUUCUUUAAUCCUAAAUACAGAGUACUUAUGCAAAGAUUACCCGUUCACAAGGCUGGUUUUCUUCUUCCCUUUCUCAGUCUUCUUCCCGGUGAGCAUCUAGAGAUUGCCCGUCCAGCAAUGGAUUACCUUUUAGCAUCUUCUUUACUGAAUAUGAAAUUAACUAAAUCUCUUGAAAUAGGAACAUAAACCAAUUUGCAAAGUUGAUGAUCAUGAAAAACCAUGGUGGUCAUUGGGAAGAGCUCCAAAUUCCUUCAAGGUACAUUGUUGUCUAUAUUAUAACUGAGUUGAGCUUGCUUGAUCUUGGAUUCAUGCCAAGUUCUGUAUUUGAUCCAGUUGCUAAUUAAUUUUCCGGUUCCUAUAAGAAAAAUUUCCAUGCCACCCAUGUCCAACGUCACUUUUCUCCUUAAAAAUUUCCAUGCACUACUUGUACCGUGUUCCCUCGUUUUCAUUUUGCAUGGGUGUGAACUUCGUUCUCAUGAGUCUGUGUUGCGCUCUACUGCAAAAGGGCAACAUCUCUUGCACAAGGAUUAAAUUGAUUUAAUAUUUUGUUUCUCGUCUCUGUGGUACUUGAUGCUUGAUUUUAUUUCACAAAUAAUGUACAGUUAUUCUUUAUUAACUUCUGCGUUUCAAUUUUCAGCAUCAAGUCAAUUGUGUGCCUCAAUUUGCCUAGCUUUUCUGGUGGAUUUAAUCCUUGGGGAAUGCCAAGUAGGAGGAGGCAUAAUGUUGGUUCACGACAUCACCUAGUGAAUUGGAUCCAAAUUUCUUUUCUUAUUAUGUCUAACAAAUUCUUUGGUGGAUUUGACUUUUCAGGGAGAGUUUACUCCACCAUAUGUAGACGAUGGCCUCAUUGAGGUCGUUGGUUUCAGAGAUGCUUGGCAUGGGCUUGUUUUGCUUGCGCCAAAGGGACAUGGGACUCGUCUUACCCAGGUAAUAAAUAUGAAAUGGUUUUGUUACAUAAUUUGCAGCAAUGAAUCUUGAUCAAGCUGAAAUUAUGUUCAUAAUUGGCUUAUUUUAUGCUAAUCUUAUCGAUGAUAGGCCCACCGGAUCCGCUUUCUGUUUCACAAGGGUGCAAUCGAUCAUACGUACAUGAGGAUUGAUGGUGAGCCCUGGAAGCAACCCCUCCCAGUUGAUGAUGAAACUGUCAUGGUGGAAAUCUCUCACCUUCGCCAGGUGAACAUUCUUGCCACACACGGCUGCAGGUCGAAAAGCAUUAACAAUCCUGUGUCACCGAGCAGCCAUGGAGCUGAUGAAGAGGAUUCGGAUGAAGAAGCUCAUGAAUCAGCAGAGUAUAGGAAGUUUGGUGCAGCAGACACAUUUAAGCUCCCGGAAGAAAUUGAUAUUUCUCAGCUUAGCUAAACCACUUAUUAAGUCAUUCCUUUUCUGUCCAAUCCUAACUCCCUUGUGAACGAGUGAGAUUUCUAUUGGGAUUUCAUUGCCAUCUUAGCUUAGUACCAUUUCCAGCAGUCAACCAUGAAAUAUCUUUUUAUUUCUUUGUGAAGAAUUGUUAUCUAGUUGUAUAUUAUUGAUUUAUGUGAAUGAAAUAAAUGCAAAUAAUUCUUCUCAAAUUCGUUGGAUCCCAUCAAGUCCUGGCAGAACAAGGGUACAAGCAUUGAAGUAAAAGAAACUCAAUGAACCAGGAAGAUGAAAUCUUUAUGAUAGGAGGCUCAAUCAUAUGUAUACACAGUGCAUAAAAAUCGUGAUUACUUGUAAGGUCAAGCUUAGGCAAUGGAGGCAAGAGUGAUGCUAUGGAAGCACUCGAUUAGGGUGAGAGAGAGAGAGAGAGAGACUAGCACUUAGCUUUACUGUGGAGAACCCGAUUCAAAUAUUGCAAAUCGAGAAUUGUAGUUACAAGCUAUAAUACAAUUUUUUUUUUUUUAAACAAAAGGUAAUAAUAAAAAGUAAAUAUGUAGACAUGUGGGAACAUAGGCUGUUGCUGGAGCACCACUGCAAGCAAUACACUAACUGCAAACCUACAAGUCGGUGGAAAGGUACAUGCCUAAGUGUAAAAACUCCAACUCUACCUCAAAGAUUUGGGGAUCUGCAGCUUCGCGGAGAGUGACCAGCUUUGAAGGAGGCAUCACUCCGACUACUGGCGAACAUAUUGGUAGUCUCCCAUUCAUUUUGUAACUGCUUCAUUGGCCUUCUGAUUUUCAACCCUUUCUUCUCUUUUCUUCUUCUCCCUGAAAGCCACAAUCAUUGCAUUGAAAUACUAUGGUUACCCAUUGGAACACAGUAAGCACAAAAGCUUCUCCGUCCUUAAUGAAUCAUAAGCCAAAACCCAUAAAUUAUUACAGAUAAUCGAACUAAAGCUAUGGAUUUUAACUUUAUAAGGUCUAGUGGAUUAACUGGUUAAAUAUUUUAGCUUCAAUUGUGGAUGUCAUGUGAAUUGUGAUCAGGUAGAGACAACUAGUACCAGAGCGACAGGUGUACACUUGAGGAUUAUUAUCAUGUCCAUCUUAUCUAUCAUAUAUAAUAUACUAUGAAUUCAAUAACGGACAUGAUGCUGAGGGAGAUGUUACCUGGCCACAUAUUCCUUUAGAAGUUCUUUUGCCUGAACCAGCUUGGAAAGCAGAUUGCGGUACACAUCAAGGUCCCGGUCCACACUUCUUUUGUCAAUGUUUAAGGCUGCACAUAACUGUUGGACAACCAAAAAUGCUCAAACAUUGCUCUCUCUCUCUCACCAACCAUUAAAUAUGGUCUCCAGUUAAAAAUUACAAACAACUCUUCAAAAGUCAGCAGAGCCCAUUAGGCCCAGGAAAAAUGUAUAUAGUAAGUAAAUCUAUCGGCUCAAGUUGAUCAUGCAAGGUAAUUCAAUCAUUUGAUGUAACGGUCAUUAACUCAACCAAGCACAAAAUGCAGUAAUUUUAACAUUUGGCUGAACACCUAUCAUUGAGUUGUAAUGUUGAUGCAUAGGACUGGCAAGUCUAACCUUUUCUAAUAUUGUUGGUUCAGUUGCAUUGGCCAAUUCGAGAAGACGAAAGAGCCCAACAGCAAAGAAACGACUGUAGCUAAAACUUCCUUUGCUUGCUGCCCUUUCUGCAAUGUCCUUCAAUGUCCCCUCAAUUUCUCCUUCUCUGGAUGGGAACUCAACUAAUGAACUGGAAGUUUGUGCCCGAGCCCACUCUUCCAACUUUUGUGCAUCAAUUCUGUAGUGCUUAGCAUGGAAACUUAUCUAGUAAAGGUAGAGACUUUUCUCAAAUAUAUAAGAAAGAGAUUGAUUACAUGCAAAAAUAAAAACUCAAAUGCACAUGACACUCCCACUGGAAAAAAAAUGCAGUAGAAGUUUUGACAGUGAACAGAUUAAGAAUUGUUUCCCACAAAAAUUACUCUUCUGAAGAGGAAGCACAAAUGAUUGGUCAUGGUCAUGGCCAGUAUGACAUAUUUGUAGUGUAAGGAGGUGUAAAUUCUUAGACUCAGUUUACAUUUGGAAAAGCAGAGGAAAGGGAAGAAACCAUUUCUGUGGUUGAUGAAUUAAAUUAAUUAAAUCACAAUUUUUUUUAAUAUAAAAAAAUUAUCUCUACUUCAUAGAUUUUUCAAGAUAAAAAAGAAAAUGAUAGAAUACUUAACAAAUUAGGAUUCCUUUUUUCUUUUUUUCUCAAGUAUCCUAUGACCAGUGGUUUUCCCUUUAUUUUUCCAAUAUCAAAACUGAUCCUUCAAUGCAUGUGUCUCAGAUUAUUUUAUCAACCAAUCUUCUGGCAUAAACUAGGAAAUUCUGAUGUAGCAUUAUGCAGUUUGCAUGAUUCAGAUAUCUUCUUAAUAGGAUUUUCUUGGUUAUAAAAAAAAGGAAUACUUAAAUGCAAUAUCACAAUCUCAAUUAGUAGCUUACAUGUUCACUUAGUUUUCAUAAUUUUGAAACCUCAGAUAAUGCGAUUGUCAGUUUGCCACAGUUUACAUACCACAUUUCUUCGUUUCAAAAUAAAAACUUAUGCAAUGGAAAAAAACAGAGAAGAGGAAUCCCGAAGAAGAUCCCACACAAGUGACAAACCUGUAUUGCUCUGGGUCCUCAUUCAAUGCUUCGAUGUAAGCUUGGAAGAUUGCCUCUCGAUCCUCAUCGCUGGGGUAUCCAUCCAUGAGUUGAUCAAAUACAGUGACAAAACCAAGGGCGAACACGGGAUCAUACCGGUAUGACUUCUUGUACUUAAUCAAAUGCUGUUGGACAAUCAGCUCCUGCAGCACAGUGUUGUAAACACUAGGGAUUGGUCGCUUAUACGCUUUAAGAAAAUUCAACUUUGUGUCAGCUACAGUAGGCGCAUCUGCACAUCAAGUAAGCAACCACAAGAAGACCAAGAAAAUUAUGGAGAAUUUAAUUAUAAACUUCUUGUGGAAUAAAAAUUAAGAGUCUGUUGAAACAAAUUUAACCAAUAUAAACUCUGAUAAAAUUCAAGCAUAUUGGCUCAGGAACCAAAGAUGGGUCCUGAUGAAUAUGAACAUCUAGCUAGAUAAUUAGUUCAUCAAGGCUCCAUUGUUCUUAUCCCACAUGAUCAAGGCAAGAUGAUUAGAAAAAUUCUUCCUUUCCAUAUCAGUAAAAUAACUUCCUACCAUUAACAUAUAAGGAAAGGCAUAACAAAAAACAUUACAGCUAAAUUAGAUCGAACUAAAAGCUUAAUUUUACUUUAAACGAUGUUAAUUUAGUAUGCCAUAGCAGGCCAAAGAGGUAAAAAAGCAGAAAUGAACGGAAAAUUCACUAGCUCCUGCACAAAAUUAUUUAAAAUUAAGCUCCAGUCUAGUUCCUGAUAAAAUGUAGCAACGUUAAAAGAUAGCAAUUCAAUGGCAUCAAACAAAGGUACGAAGCAAAACCCACAUGACGCGCCUGACAUGCAAUGAAUCAUCAUACGAGAACUCGAACUCGAUGCUCGAACACCACCAUUAUUGCAGGAAAAGCUCGUACGGAGCCGGAGACCUUCGGAGUUGUAAGCCAAAUUCCGAGUAGAAGAUAUUACCGAUUUUCUAUCAGAACACUGACUCAGGGCAGAGAAAGAGAGAGAAGCAACGGCAGCCAUUUUUGGAAGAGAGAGUAUUAGAGUUGGAAAUUUUCCGGGAAAAUUUUAAGCAUAGUGGAGAGGAAGAGAGAAUUUGGUGGGUUUUAGGAUUUUAAUUUAUAAAAUAAUUUCGGGGAAGAGUGUGAGAGAGAUAGAGGUCCACGAAAAGGCUUAUCCAAGUGUUGUGAUCCAGUAGUUUUUUGACAAGUGGUGUUUCGUGGUGCGGUAUCUGAAAGAGAGACAUGGUGAUGGGUCGGACUGAAUUGGACCGGGCCGCCUGAUAUUUUAUUGGAUAGUCAGUUUAUUUUGUUUCUUUUCUUUUUUGAUAGAGGCCAUGGAAAGCGAUAGCCGUUUUGAUUUAGAGUAUGCGCGGUCUAGUUUGGUUUGAUUCGAUUAAUGGAUGACGCCUAUAGCCAUGGUUGUCGACAUUCAAAUGUUAAUCAUAGUUUGUGAGGAGAUUAAUUUGAAGGGGGUGAAAUAGUGUAACGUCAAUCAAAAUAAUAUCUAACAUCGUUAAUAAAUAUUGUCAAAAUUAUGGAUGUGCGAAAGUCGUUUUGAUUUAGAGUAUGCCUAAUUUGGUACGGUAUUGGUUUGAUUUAUUCUCGAACUAGUAGUAUAAUCAAUUCAUUUUGAUGAUCAAUUUGGUUUAGUUUGUUUUGAUUUCCCUUACUUAAUGAUUAAGAAAUAAUAUAUUCUUUUACUUAAAUCAAAGAAAAAUUCGUUGAAAAAAUAGUUGAGAAAACUUCUUAAGGUUGAAUAUGUAUUUAGAGAUAGAGAUAGAGUACAACAUCGAUGAGUAACAUCAAUGUGUUGGAAGAUUCAUAAUAGUGAAUGGUGACAACCAAUAAGAAAAUGCACAUUAAAAAAAUCAUAAAAACAAUAUAUGUGGUUUUAUUCGGUUUAUGCGGUUAAAAAAGGUCAACCUGAAUUAAACUGAACAAAACAGCUCAAUAUAGGUGAUUUAGUUCGGUUUAUAUGGUUUUCAAGUAAGCCAAAUCAAAUCAAAAUAAACUAAUUAUGAACAAUUUAAACUGAACAAAACUGCUCAAAUGGAUUGGCCAGUUCGAAAUCCCUACUUCGGUUGAUAAAUAGAAAUCAAAAUGGAACUAAAGAUGAAAGCAAAAUUCAACUCUUAAGAAAGAAGAAAAGGAGAAGGGCAAGUUGCAAGGAUUGUUAGGUGUCAAUCUUAUCCAAUUGUAGAGUUAAACGUGUACAGGCUAAACAUCGACUCAUGUGGAAAUAUGCCUUCUCUGCCUCCAAUGUCGAUGGAAGCAACGUGCUCUGCAUUGUUUUUUAAUUUUCUGUCUGUGACUGUGAUACUAUCUUCUUAAACAAAACAGGGAAGAUGAGAAGAAAAGCUCAGGACACCCCAAGAUCUCAAUGCUUUGAGUGAAUUGAUUUUGCCAAGUGGCAAACCCUAACAAAAGCUUUUUUUUCUUCUUCUUUUCUUUUCUAAAGGAGAUAUUACUUGAUCUUUAGCAAAUCAGGAAAGGAAAUUCACCAUUUUUUUUAUAUACAAAACCUCUAAAUCAUUCUUUUCCAGCUAUGUUGCUGCCCUGCUGCUUCUGUGUCUAUAAAUGGAAGCUGGCCUCCAAGUUGUAGCCAUAUAUUUCAUUCUUAAUUUGAGUGCAUAACACUCCAAGUGCAGAGAUCACAAAUCACUUACAAUGAUGCAAGGAACUAAUGGCCAAGCUGCUGCUUCUGCUUCUUCUCCUAAAGGCAACUACUCUGUCUCAUCUUCUACUAGGCCAACUAUAGCAGAAGUUUAUGGUGGUCUUACACCAAAAGUACUUUUCAAUAAAGCUACUGCUAACAACAGCACUACUACUAGUGAUCAAACUCAUCAAAGGCUUAAACAGCUGCAGGCAGAAGAAUCGCUUCGCACUGUCAUGUACUUGAGCUGCUGGGGUCCUAACACAUGAUGAUUCAUAGCAGACACUCUAGUAUAAAAGUAUCCUAGAUUAAUUAGUCUCUCUCCAAGAGGACUUAAGUUGUUAAUUUCUUCUAUCUUUAGUUUUAAACUCUUGAAGAACUGUGCUGUAAAAUUAACUCUUGACUAUUUUUCAUAUGAAUCAUGCACAAUAUUUUGUAUCUGUCAAGAAGAAAAUUAACUGCAGAAGUAAGUAUUUAUUUUAUUAGAUCAUCAAGCAGUGAUGUGUGGCUCUACAGCCCAAGAAGCGGGCUAGCUUUUUCCAUUACAAAACUCACAACUCUCUUUUGAAGGAAGAAAAGCUGCAUAUAGUAUAACAAGGAGGAGAUCACAUCAUGCACAGUAUAAGUAUCAUAUCGGCAUGAUUGUAGUUAGGUUCAUAAGUAUAUAGAUAUCAUGGCUAAUUAGGGCCCCAACAAAUUAGAUUCAUGACUUUCUCAACGUUUUCGGCUUUCCUUAAGCACAUCUGUCUCUCUUCCACUUCAAUCUUCUUCUUCACGGUCUCAUAGGUGGUACAAGGAAACCUUAUUUCAAAAAGCUUGUGCAGAUCAGAUUCUGGUUGGGAUUUUUCUUGAUGGCAAGGCAUGAUUGUAGUUAUCAUGGUGAUGCCUUUUUAGUUUUUAGAGCACUGCUGACUGCUUAAUGAUCCAAUUCCCCUCCUGCAUAUUUAUAUAUACACUUUUUUCUUUUUAUGUAAACAAAUCUUUAUUUUUUUAUAAAAAAAUUAGUCUAUACUUACAGCAUCUGAUUUUUACAAAUUUUGUUAACUUAUUUCGUGGCUUUUGGGUUAGCGUUAAAUGGGGUUUUGGCUAAUUAUGUGUCUCUUGAUUGGAGUAAAGGCUACUAGCUUUUAGAGUUCAAAACUAGUGAAGAUAGAUGAGUUUUGUCAAAAAUAUGGGAUCAUCAAGUGGUAAUUCAGGGUCUAAUUAAUUCAUUUUCAAGCUAAAUUAUGUAGGGGGACGAUGACGAUUGAUUCUAACAGCAAAAGGAGUGAUUUCAUCACUGCAACUUGAGUAGCCUCUCGUAUAGGACUAAAGCAGUCAUUUGAAAAUGAGCAAUAUUUGGAAAAAGAAAUAGAUGAAUGAUCAAAAUAUCCCUUCCAAAAGUUGCACAAAAAAAUCCAUAUUAAAAUAAGUGUAGAACAAAAACAAGUUGGUACGAGCAUGACACAUUCGAUAAGAUGAAACGAAUGUAGCUAGUAGCACGAAAUGGAUCGCACGUAUCAGGAGACAAAAACAAACCCUCAUCAUUCUUCAGUUUUGAAGGGGAUGAAUGGGUGAAAAGCAUGUACAAAAGGAGACAAAUAGCUGAGAUCACAAUAGUGCUAGCUCCUUCUUCCGUUACUUGCUUCAUCAAAAAACAAGAAGCAAAACCUUAGGUUUUCUCACAGAAAACCACUGCAGAAUUUGUCUUACAUACAAUACUAAUAAUCUACAAGGGACAAAUGCAGCUUCCGGAUUUCCACAAAUCUCAAAACCACUUUGUGUUUUUCUUUUGCUUUAUGUGUAUAUAUAUACAUUCAGUGUUAGGGUCCAAAGCAUAGUCCUCCAUACCUAAGAAACCAAAAAAAAAAACCCCGGAAACAGAAAAAAGCAGAGUGCUCUGCUGACUUAACUGAAGAUGUGUGCAACAAGAGGAGCUUGGAUCGCAGCGGUUAGUGUUGGAGCUGUUGAGGCUUUGCAAGAUCAAGGCUUCUGCAGAUGGAGUUACACCAUGAGGUCUUUGAUCCAGCAUGCCAAGAACAAUAUGAGAUCAUUCUUACAAGCCAAGGAACUCUCUUCUUCUUCUUCUUCUGCUAUGGUUUUGAACAAAAUGAAUUCUGAACAGAAGAACCAAGCUGAGAAUUCUCUAAGAAAAGUCAUGUACUUGAGCUGUUGGGGUCCUUAUUGAAAUCCCUCCAAUAUUAUAGGUAGUUGAGGAUGUACCACUUAGAUUUUAUUUUUGAAACUGAGUUUAAGCUGUAUAUACAUGAUUUGAAUGUAUAUUUUCCCAACCCAACAACAAGAAAAUCCCAGAUUUUGAUUUUUAUCAAUGAACAUGAACGUUGGUUCUAUUUUUCAGUCAAACAACUAACCAGUUGAAAUUAUCACAAAGCCAAAAACAAAGAACCGACUAGUUGGAAUUCAUAUCAGUUAAGUGCAACAAGAACACAAUCUCAUCCUAUUGAUCAUCGUUGACAAAAUUCAAGUACAAAAGUAAUGUAAAAAUCCAAAGGGUUCAUUUAGAUCAAAAUCUUGGAGCAUUACGUUUUUCAAAUAUAAAAUGAACACACACCAGACACGUCGAUAUUCCAUCUUAUUAGUCAUCUAAUUCGUCAACUAUAUAUGACACUUUUAUCACAAACUAACCAACUAACUCUUAAUUUAGUGAUAUUUCAUUUAAAAGAAAGAAAGAGAAUCCUCAUUAAUUUAGUAUGUUAUGUUUCUUCUUCAUCAAAUACCAAUUGAUACUCAAUCGACAUACAUCGACGUGUGACAAUCAUGUGAACUCUAACAUGAUCACUUCUCCAAUAAGAGUGAUGGAAAUUUAGAGGAAACAUUCUAGUUUUUGGGGGGCAGCAGAUGUUAGGGACACUCAUACGUCCAUCCACGUGUAAGAAUCAUGUGAGCUCCAAGGAAGUUGAGGUUCUACUCCAAACUUAAUUCGGAGGAAGUAGUCCAACUCCUUAUAAGUAGUUGCUAGAUUUCUCAUCCAUCCAAUGUAAGACAUUUUCAUUUCACAUUUUCACAAUUGCACUUGCAGUUGCACGUGAACAUUGACCAAAAAAAGAGAGUAAACUACCGGUUUCACUCCUAGACUGCUACUACUAGCCCACAGUCCAAAAUAAAGUGACAAGAGACUCUGUUUCUGUCUUUUGGUCCACACUCCAAAUCAAACAAGCAAACAAAUGGUUUCACUCCCAUACUGCGGGCCUAGAUACAAUAAUUUAAAUCAAAACCAUGUGCUCAUGAGGCAACAAAACUCGGUGCUUAUCCAAACUCCAAAAUCUUAAAUUCCACUUUUACCCCUGCCCAGUACAUCAUAUCCCCUGCAUCUGCAUGUACAAAACAGUAAUAUCCCCAAAUAUAGUGUAAACAUCCACAUACCUUACCAAAACAAACAGAAGAAAACAAAACCAGCUCUGGUUUUUUGCCACAAGCCCACCUUUUUUUAAAAAAGAAAUCCCCCAUAUAAGGAGCACCUCAAGAUAAUCUUCUCCAUCAAUACACUCAAACAUUCACAUUCACAUUCACAACUGAGAAGUUCAAAGCAUCAAAGAGAGGUCAGUAAGGAAGAGAAAAUAAAUCGUAAUCGUGAUGAGUUCAUCAAGUGCAAGCAAGGCUAUUGUGGCAGCAAGUGUUGGAGUUGUGGAGGCAUUGAAGGACCAAGGGAUAUGCAGAUGGAACUCUGCUUUAAGAUCUGUGCACCAGCAAGCCAAAACCCAACUCAGGUCAUGUUCUCAGGCCAACAACAAGCUCUCAUCUUCUUCUGCUUCAGCUGCUUUCAGUAAAGUCAGAGAUGAGAAGCUGAAGAAAUCAGAGGAGUCUUUGAGGACAGUCAUGUACUUGAGCUGCUGGGGUCCCAACUAAUUCAAUCAGCACCGAAACAAGCGCAAAAAGAUCACAUUUCUGUUGAGGCUUUGAAAGAUAAAGGCUUCUGCAGAUGGAGUUGCACCACCAUGAGGUCUGUGCACCAGCAUGCCAAGAACAAUAUGAGUUCUUUCUUACAAACCAAGGAACUCUCUUCUUCUUCUGCUAUGGUGUUGAACAAAAUGAAUUCUGAAGAGAAGAAUCAAUCAAGCUGAGUAUUCUCUAAGAAAAGUCAUGUACUUGAGCUGUUGGGGUGUUUAUUGACACAAAUUGGAGCUCAUGGUGAAGUCCCUCAAGAUUUGAAGAUUUUUGAGACUGAAUUGAAGCUGUAUACAUUAUUUGAAUGUAAAUUUUCCCAAUCAACCAAAAAAACAAGAAAAUCUAUGUUCUUUGGUUUUUAUGAAUGAACAUUGGAUCUAUUAAUUAGACAAUUCUCGACCAGGUUAACCUUAGCUUACUGUAUCAUUGGUACUUAUUUGGAAUUCUAAUUCAAUACAUGUUGGUUUUAUUAAUGGUUCCUCCUUCAAACAGAGAUGCUUUUGGUUCUAUUUUUCAGUCAAUCAACUAACCAGAUGAGGUUAUCACAAAACAAAAAACAGAGAACAAACCAGUUGAAAUUUAUCAGUUAGGGGCAACAAGAACACACAAGGUUAUCUCAUCAUAUUGAUCAUUGUUGGCAAAAUAAAAAGGCAGACGGUUCAUUUCGAUCAACCAAAACUUUAAAAACUAACUCUUAAUAUAGUGAUAUCUCACUUAGAAUGAAGAAAGAGAAUCCUCAUUAACUUUACAAAGGGUCAUGAAGCGUUUAACAAAAGGCCUUGACUAAGUGAAGAAAGAGAAUCCUCUCCAACUUUACAAUGGGUCAUGAAGCGUUUAACAAAAGGCCUUGUCAUUUUGGUCAAGGUCCACAGAGUCUUGUUCAGUGGAAAAGACAAAAGGACCUGAGUCUUGUUAAGCGGAAAAUUACCUGACUUACAGACUAAUUGUCCCAAUUUCAAACUUCUCUGAUACAGCUGACAAUGUGUGUAGGAGAACACCUCCCUCCGGCAAUAUCACUUGUAUAAAAAAGGCCUUAUGAUGUGUUCAAAUCCGACUCAUAGCUUGUGCAAGCAAGGCGAUGACAUAGGCCCCCAAAUAUUUGAGGCUCCAAUUUUUUUUCUAGCCCACUUCUAUAAGAAACCCAAAAUAUCCCUUUAUUUUAAGUUGGAUCUUUAUGCAAGCUUUGGAAUUUGAAGGCAUGAUUAUAAGAAAUUUAUAAAAUCAGGUGAAUUCCUUAUUUAAAAAAUAAAUAAAUAAAUCUAAUGUGAAUGAAUUUUGUAGUUUAAAUUAUGAUUUAUAGAUUUACCCUUAAAGUUUUCCCUUAAAAAUUCACCAUGAAUGAGAAAAUAAUGUUGUGUUGUUCAUAACUUUGUCAUUAACAUUUUUUUCUUCUCUGAGAAUAUCAUAACUAGGGUGUACUUAGGGCCAUGUUGGCAUUGCUGUGCUGUGAAAAUAAUAACUAUCAGAUUUGCUAUGAGAGAAAUCAAAUAUGAGAGAGAAAACAGUUUGGCGUUUGGUAAACUUUUUAUUAAAAAUGUUGUUGGUACUGAUUCCCAUUUAAACCAACGCUUUUUCGAAACUGAUUACAGCCUAAUCAAAAAAUGAAAGCACCUCAUUAACUGUUUUUCCUUGUAGCUUUCUUUCACUGCAAUUUUUAAUAAUAAGUGAUUUUCUCAUAGUUUACCAAACAUGCUGGGCUUUUCAAUUUUUUUUUAAAAAUCACUUAUUAUCACAAAUAAGUAAUGUCAAAUGAGCACUUAGAUAAUUUUAUAUUUUAAUUUAAAUAUUUGGGUAUAUUCAGUUAUUUUCAGAGUUUGUUUAAUAACACCCUUAAUUUAUAAUGUAAUGGUAUCGUACGACUUUGAUUAGAUGAGAUAUAAAAGGUUACCAAAUUGUUGAUUCCCUUUAUUAUAAUAUAGUAUUUGUUUGAAUUUCUUUAUGUUCCUGUUGGGGCAUUGAGCACCAAAGUAUGAUGGGAAAAUUAUAGAAUGGUCUCAAAAGGAUGGACUUCUAGGAGCAAAUUCCUGGCCAUUGAACUUUUUGUAUGGUUAACUUUAAAAAGCUCGUUUGGACCCAUUUCAAUUUAAUAAUAGAAUAUUUAAAUAAACAUAAAAUUUCCAACAUUCAUGAAGUUAAUUGAGUAUGAAAUAUUAUUACAUAACAUAGUUUAAAUAUAUUGCAAUAAACGUGAUCAUCAACUGAGAUGCAAGCACGACAUAUAUGAGCUGCUGGUGGGGCCGCCUUGCCCAGAGGAUCGGGAGCUGCACUGUCUGUUACGGUGGUGCUCCAUGGCAUCGAUAAGAUUCAGGACCGGGUAAUGCACUGCUAAGAUCAGCUCCUCUCUCUUCUGUUGCGGUGGUGAGGCAUGACAUUGACGACCGGGGAAUGCAUAGGUAGGAUGAGUUGUUGUCCUGUUGAUGUCGGGCUGGAGCUAUUGGGCUAUCAGGAAGAGUUGGAGCUACUGGGCUACCGAGUCAGGUGGAGCUAUUAGACUACCAGGUAAAGAAACCUCUUAUGAAAAUAUAGCCCUUGAGACAGGUGGAGAAUCAAAGAUCAGUUAAGGGGAGAACGAAGAAAACACCAUGCAACAAUAACAAAAAUGACCUAGCCACUUAACUUGAACACAGGGAUCAGGCAUAAGAGCAUUUGCCGGAUGCCAAGCACACGAAUGCUCUAAGAACACAUUAAAUCAACAUCAAUAUCAUAUCAAUGUAUCCUGUGAAUGGAAAUACAAGCAGAUUAGUAAAUCAACAUGCGACGGGCAUUAUUCGAUAAAUACAACAUGCAGUAAAGAGACCAAAUGCUGGAACUAGAAAUAAUUUUCAAAAUAAUUUUCCUUUUAGAACGAGUACUGCAGACAUUCAUGAACUGCUAUGGCACAGAUGCAGAAGCCCAGGCUUGUAUAUACCCCCACACCCAAGCAUGCAUUCAUACACUUAAUCAAAAGUAAUAUAUUGACUUAAAAAAAUAUAUUAAUAACCACUGGCCAUCAUACCAAUAAGACGUAAACAUGACAUUGAAACAAAACCAGUGAAAAGGUAUGACUAUCAUUUUCUCACCCAGAGGGGCAGAUUCAUGUCAAUCUGCCAAUUUAGAGUAAUGUGAAAGCAAAAUCCGAAAACACUCAUCUACAUACAAACCGAUCAGGCCAAUGAUCAAUGUAAUCUGUCUGCAAUCCGAAAACACUUGAGCUGCAUCUAAACAUUACAUAACUCAUCACUCAGCACAGCAUAACACGAAGAGUUUAAACAGAAGCAAAAUUACAAACUGUUUGCGCUGUUUGCUUUACCAAACCUGCCGUCAAUGGCCUCGGUGAUAUUCUUAGCAUUCAAACUCUUGGGGACAUCUCGUAUCCAAGUCAUCUUCCCAGACGGUACGUGUAAUAUCAGAACAAAUUUUCACACAUCAGAAGUGAAAACCAAGCUGGCACACCAUUGUUAGCAUGAACUGAUACUCUCAUAGCUACUUUACAACCUUGGUGGCCAAAACGACGCUCCUCGCUCCUCCCCUGACCCUGAGUCUGGGCUCGCUGAACCACUGGAUACAUUUCUGUAGAGUCGAAUAAAUUGAUGCCGGACAGGAAAGCUUGGUCGAGGAGGCCAUACGACUCCGAAAACGUGUUUUGCUUGCCGAAAGUCAUCGUCCCUGCGUGAAGAAUGAAUUUUUAUUUGAGGAUGAGAGGGAGGGCCAAAGAAUCAGACUCAGAGUCGGUAAGAUUGGGGGCGAGGUUGAAGAGAGGCACUGCCAUUGCUUCGCUUGAGAAGCUUUUUGAGUUUGUCAACUGUGAGUGGAAUGGGAAGGAGAAAAAUCAAAGUAUAUGCUAUAUCGGCGCAAGUUUGGCGGAUUUUCAGGGGUUGGAUAAGAUAAAAACAUAACCGAGUUACUAUCUAUGUGUUCGAAAAAUCGUCCAACAAAUAAAUAAUAAAAUAAAAUAUAAAAAUCCGCCUAGGCGGGCUAGGCGGGUUGGGUCCUUUUUUUCUUUUUUUUCCUGACUUUAAAUAAAACCUAGUCUUGGAGGGAUAUGGAGAGGAGGAAGAGUUAGAUUUAGAGGCCGAGCUUUGAAUCAAUGCCUGUUGAAGCAGAUGCAUCAGUUUGGAGAGCCUUGCUCAAUGCUUGUCGACUUCAUUCUGCCACGAAGUUAGCUGGAACCAUAUUUGAAAAACUUGUUGAAUUAGAAUCGAUGAAUGCGGGGAAUUAUGUUCUGAUACCUAAUAGAGAUAUUUAGUAAUAUACCAAUUCUUAACACUAAUAUUAUAAAUAAACUCUAUAUCAUUGAAAUUCUAUAAACAAACCCCAAAAAAAAACAAAAAAUAACAGCUGGCCUUAUUGAAUUUAAUAUUGAUGAUUAAAUUACUUUGAUGCCCUAUUGAGUGUUUUGGGUAUUUUUAUGAGAUUUUGGGGUUGAGCUUGUUUUAAGAAAUUGAUGAUAGUUUUGUAAUUUAUAAGAAGUUCAAAGCCUCUUUGUUAUGUUGUAAAUGAGUUUUGGGUGUGUUGCUAAAGUCCAUUUCAUAUGAGGUAUUUUUAUAAUUUGGGCCCCUAUAUUGAGUAUAAUAGUAAAUCUCCCUAUCUAAUAUAUAUGCUGCAGCAGGUCUAUGGAUGGAGGUCAGGCAGAUAAGAACACGGCUCAGGGAAAAGGGUUAGAAAAGCCUCCUGGAGUAAGUUGGAUUGUUGUUAAAAGCCAGGUCCAUUGUUUCGUUGCCGGAGACACAUCACACCUUCAAUCAGACAUAAUUAAUUUAUGCAAGUUUAAAUUCUCUGUCAACCUUGAUCAAAGAAAGCCGAUACAUUCCUGAUCUUUGAUUGGUUUUGCGUGACGAAGAGGGUUAGGUUGAAAGUGGGGUCAUAAUCUUCAGUUUUGCAUACUGCUGAGGGUUGGGAACCUUUUAAUGAUCACUAAGGACUCAAAAAGGCUUUGUGAUGGGUUCCAUUGAUUAAUGUGUCUGUCAUUGUUGGAAGGGAAGAACAUGAAGAAUUUUGUAUCAUUUUAGGUCCCUGACCGGAUUCUUUUUUAGGCUUGAUAAACAAUUCCAUCGUGUAUAUUUGUAUUGAGAGUCUCUGACAUACAUGAAAGAAAGCUUCCAGAUAUAGUUUCUCAAAAGAAUGAAAGCAUCAAUUUCAAAAGAUGGAGAAGGAGAGUCAAUUUAAGAAGUUUGGUUAUUGAGUUUCAGACCAAAUUGUACACUGCUAGAAAUAUUGAACUGUAUAUACAAUUCACAAUGGCUCCAAGCCCAUAUGGAUUUAUAGUUACCUCAGGCAGAGCAUAAUUGUAAUUUUUUUUUUUCGAGAGAAAUUAUUUGAGUCAAAGGCUAAUUCUUAUAGCAAUGAUGCCACAAAUCUCACAAAAAAACGCCAGUCUAUCUCACUCUGCAAAGAUAAUUACUAAACCAAAAUUAUCAUUACGAUUAUGUAUUCAGCCAAAAUUUUCGAAGUUUGUGUUUACAACAGUUUGCCCCCCAAAUUUUAACAAGCAACUCUAAAAUUCUUGAGAGGCAGAUCAAUUGUUUCCUCUCCCUUUACCAAUCUUCUUCGGCAACAGGGUGAUGAAUGUUUCGCAAAACACUGCCCUUACCAAUAGUAACAAUACCAAUUCAAGACUUGGAUUUAGGGUUUGGAGGCUAAAAUCCAUUUUUAGAAUACAAAAAUAAUUUUCUAGGAUUUUUAAAUAAUUGAAACUAUUUUAAAAUUUCACAAAAUUAUUUAAGAUAAUUAAAUAUAUUUAAUUACUAUUUAUGAAGUAAAUUAAAUAUUUAAAUACUAAUUAUUCACUAAAUAAAUAGUAAUUAAAAGAUAAUAUAUUUAAAGAGUAUAGCCGGGCGGCUAUACUUUUUAAAUAUUCGAAUAUAUUAAAGGAGUAGAGCCGCGCGGCUAUACUCUUUAAAUAUAUUGGAAUAUUUAAAAGGUACAGCUGAACGCUAUACGCUGUAAAUAUAUUGGAAUAUUUAAAAGGUAUAGCCGCGCGGCUAUACUCGUUAAAUAUAUUCGAAUAUUUAAAAGGUAUAACCGAGCGGCUAUACUCUUUAAAUAUAUGAUGUUUUAAUUAUUUUUUAUUUACUGAAGAAUUAGUAUUUAAAUAUUUUAAUUAAUUUCAGAAACUACUUCAUAACUAGUAAUUAAUUUUGUGGAAUUUAAAAUUAUUUAAAAAUCCUAGAAAAUUAUUUUAGUAUUCUAAGUUCCUACAUAUCAAAAGAUGAGAUGAACAAUUUGAAAAUUGACCUCUAAAAAGAUUCAACCGAGCAUCUGCAGGACCCCCAUUAAGUCUCCAAACCAGAGUCCUAACGUGGACAAGAACAUGAAGAAAGAAACUAUAAAGAAUUGGAGGGAGAGGUGUCGAACCUAUUGCAAGAGAUACUGGAUGAACAGUACUUCCCUGCAAUAUCAAUGUAUCCUGUGAAUGGAAAUACAAGCAGAUUAGUAAAUCAACAUGCGACGGGGAUUAUUUGAUAAAUACAACAUGCAGUAAAGAGACCAAAUGCUGGAACUAGUGCUGCAGAAAUUCAUGAACUGCUAUGGCACAGAUGGAGAAGCCCAGGCUUGUAUAUACCCCCACACCCAAGCAUGCAUGCAUACACUUAAUCUAAAGUAAUAUAUUGCCUUAAAAAAAAAAUUUAAUAACCACUGAGGCAUCAUACCAAUAAGAUGUAAACAUGAAAAGGUGUGACUAUCAUUUUCUCACCCAGAGGGUUAGAUUCAUGUCAAUCUGCCAAUUUAGAGUAAUGUGCAAGCAAAAUCCGAAAACACUUAUCUACAUACAAACCGAGCAGGCCAAUGAUCAAUGUAAUCUGUUUGCAAUCGCCUUAAGCUGCAUUUAAACAUUACAUAAAUCAUCACUGAGCAUAGCAUAACACGAAGCGUUUAAACAGAAGAAAAAUUACAAACUGUUUGCUUUAGCAAACCUGCCGACAUUGGCCUUGGUAAUAUUCUUAGCAUUCGAACACUUGGGACCAUCUCGUAUCCAAGUCAUCUAAACAGACGGUACCUGUAAUAUCAGAACAAAUUUGCACACAUCAGAAGUGAAAACCAAGCUGGCACAAAAUUGUUAGCAUGAACUGAUACUCUCAUAGCUACUUAACAACCUUGGUGGCCAAAACGACGCUCCUCGCUCCUCCCCUGACCUGAGUCUGGGUUCGCUGAACCACUGGAUACAUUUCUGUAAAGUCGAAGAAAUUGAUGCCGGACAGGAAAGCUUGGUCGAGGAGGCCAAACGACUCCAGAAACGUGAUUUGCUCGCCGAAAGUCAUCGUCCCUGCAAAGAAUGAAUUUAUAUUUGAGAAUGAGAGGGAGGGCCAAAGAAUCAGACUCAGAGUCGGUAAGAUUGGGGGUGAGGUUGAAGGGAGGCACCGCCAUUGCUUCGCCUGGGAAGCCCCUUGAGUUUGUCAACUAAGUGGAACGGGAAGGAGAAAAAUCCAAGUAUCUGCUAUAUCGGCGCAAGUUCGGUGAAUUUUCAAGGGUUGGAUAAGAUAAAAACAGAACCGAGUUACUAUCUCUGUGUUCGAAAAAUCGUCCAACAAAUAAAUUUAAAAUAAAAUAAAAUUUCCGCCUAGGCUGGUUGGGUCCUUUUUAUUUUUUUAUUAUUGUUUUUUUGCCUGACUUUAAAUAAGGGCUCGUUUAAAGUCUAACUAUUCCUCCUCCUCUCCAUAUCCCUCCAAGACUAGAGGCCUAGCGUUUCAUUUCAAGUAUUUUUCUUUGUAGUAACUUUUUCCCAUGUUUUAUAUCAAUUAUGUUUUUUUUUAUAAUUUCUAUAUCCUUUUAUUUUGCAUGAUUUCGGUAUAAAAUUAUAAUUUAUAAUACAAAAUAAUUAAUUUCUUUUUUAAAACGCCUAAGCCAGAUUACUCUUCUAGCUGCUAGGCCCCUGCUACUGCCUUGCGAUUUUUCGAACAUUGAUAUCUACAUCUAUAAAAUUCCUCAUUGCACCACAUAAUUGAUACAAAAUAUUUAUUUACUAAAAACCACCCUCAAAUCAAAUUAUUUUUACAUUGACAACUACUUCCUGCUGAUAAUUGAUACAAAUAUUUAUUUACUAGCAUUACCAUUUCCCCUAAAUAAACAAUCUUUAUUACUUUUUCAGAAACAAUUAAAAUAACAUUCAAGAAACAAGAAAAACUAGAGAAAGGAGGUGCACUUAGGGGGAUCUCACAAAACCUUGCCUUGAAAAUUCCAAUAGAGGAAAAUUCAAUCAAGGAAAAAGAGUAUCACACACCUCCCUCAAAAACACUAAGCAUCUUCUCUAUUCGCCACCAGCGUAAACCAACCCAAAACAAUCGCCACCGUUCACGUAAACCGAAGUGAACCAAAAGGUGUGCGGCUUCAUUCCCUUUGCGAGGUUGAUAAAACACUUCACGCACUUGUAAAUGCACCAAUAAAUUCCUCACAUCUUCAACCAGAUUGCCUAGAUUGCUCCAACAUUCGCCAAAUCCAAUAACAAGCGACACUGCCUCUUGAGAAUCAGAAGCCAAAAGAAAAUUUUGGUAACCUCUCCACAAAGCCAUUAACAAACCUUCUAGCAUCGCAGCAAGUUCGGUUCCCAGAACAUCAAGUCCAACAUGUCCAUCACAUGCAAAACCGAAAUAAAACUCACCAUCAUGGUCCAUUUCCCCUUAUUCAUAUCUUAUUAAACUAUUUUCUAUUAAUUUUGGCCAAGAAAAACUAUUUUCCAUUAAUACACUCUUUUAACUUGCUUUCUUUUCCAUUUCCCAAAAUUAAAAGUGGAUUUAGAACGUUUGUAAUAACAAAAUAAGUGAUAAGAGGGCAACUAAUUAUUGUUUAGUUCACAAUUUAAUGUUAGAAAAUCCAUCAAAUCAUUUUGGUAACACUGAAUUAGAUCUUCAAACAUCUAUAAUUUUGAUCUAGAAACCUCAACAUUUUCAUUUUACUUUUCAUUUUCUGAGUAUGACAUCCGUUUAUUUGAAGGGCUAAAAUAAGAGAAUCGAUUUCAUAUAUCUUUAUAUUUUCAGUUUGAUUUCUCAACCGAUAAAUGAUCUUGCAUAACAUAGCAUGUAGAAAUCUUCAGAAAACUUAUGGCACAUUGUACUAUGUGUCUUUAAGUGGGUUCUUUCAAAUUGCAGCAUCCCAACAUGUCCAUGUGUGCCAACUGCUUAAUGAUCCAAUUCCUCUCCAGCAUAAUUAUAUAUACGCACACGUUGGAGUAUUUUUGUUAACUUAUUUCGUGGCUUUUGGGUUAACGUUAAACGGGGUUUUGGCUAAAUAUGUGUCUCUUGAUUGGAGUAAUGGCUACUAGCUUUUAGAUUUCAAAAGUAGUGAAGAUAGAUGAGUUUUGUCAAAAUUAUGGGAUCAUCAAGUGGUAAUUCAGGGUCUAAUUAAUUCAUUUUCAUUCUAAAUUAUGUAGGGGGACGAUGAUGAUUGAUUUUAACAGCAAAAAAGAGUGAUUCAUCACCGCAACUUGAGUAGCCUCUAGUAUAGGACUAAAGCUAGGGGCGGAGCUAUUCAUAGGCCUGAGAUGGCCUGGGCCUCCUUACCAUCUUCUCACCUCUUUAACUGUAUAAAGAGCACAACAUAGAUUGCAAAAAAAAAUCCCAUAGAUUUAAGCUUGUGGCCCCCCCAACAUCAAACUCUACCUCCGCCACUGACUAAAGCAGUCAUUUGAAAAUUGAAAAUGAGCAAUAUUUGGAAAAAGAAAUAGAUGAAUGAUCAAAAUAUCCCUUCCAAAAGUUGCACAAAAAAUCCAUACUAAAAAAAGUGUAGAACAAAAACAAGUUGGUAAGAGGAUGACACAAAUGUAGCUAGUAGCACGAAAUGGAUCGUACGUAUCAGGAGACAAAAAUACACCCUCAUCAUCCUUCAGUUUUGAAGGGAAGCAAAUUAAUAAAGACAUAGAGCAGCAGAGAAGGGAUGAAUGGGUGAAAAGCAUGUACAAAAGGAGACAAAUAGCUGAGAUCACAAUAGUGCUAGCUCCUUCUUCCGUUACUUGCUUCAUCAAAAAACAAGAUGCAAAACCUCAGGUUUUCUCACAGAAAACCACUGCAGAAUUUUUCUUAUAUAUAAUAAUAAUAAUCUACAAGGGACAAAUGCAGCUUCCGGAUUUCCACAAAUCUCAAAACCACUUUGCCUUUUUCUUUUGCUUUAUGUGUAUAUAUACACAUUUAGUGUUAGGGUCCAAAGCAUAGUCCUCCAUACACAAGAAAACAAAAAAAUAAAAAUCCCCCAGAAACAGAAAAAAGCAGAGUGCUCUGCUGAAUUAACUGAAGAUGUGUGCAACAAGAGGAGCUUGGAUCGCAGCGGUUAGUGUUGGAGCUGUUGAGGCUUUGAAAGAUCAAGGCUUCUGCAGAUGGAGUUAUACCAUGAGGUCUUUGUGUAAAAUAGGUAUGAAAAGAUAUUUGACCAGAAUAAUCUUAUUGAUCAUUGAUAUAUGUUUAUAUAAUACAUUCCGUAGGUUUUCCCUAUAAGUAAGCUAACUAGCUAGGAAAGAAUAUAUACGGGAAUCAAAUAAUAUAACAUUCCUAUUCUAUUAUACAAUCCCUAAACUGAAGGGUAAUCUUUGAUUCUCAACACUCCCCCUCAAGUUGGAGAGUGGAUGUCAAGAACUCCCAACUUGCGUGACAUACGAGCGAAAUCAUCUUUGCCCAAUGCUUUGGUGAAGAUGUCUGCUAUUUGCUGGGAAGAAGCAACAUGCUUUGUCGUUACAGAACCAUCUUGGAUUUUGUCUCUAAUAAAAUGACAAUCCAUUUCAAUGUGUCGUGUUCGCUCAUGGAAAACAGGAUUUGCUGCUAUAUGUAACGCAGCUUGGUUGUCGCAAUGAAGUAUCGCUGCCUUCCGAUGUGGCAACUGAAGAUCUCGUAACAAACUACGCAACCAAGUCAGUUCACAACAAGCACCAGUCAUAGCUCUGUAUUCUGCUUCUGCUGAAGAAAGUGAAACAGUUUUCUGUCUCUUUGAUCUCCAAGAAAUCAAGGAGUUUCCGAGAAAAACACAAUAUCCAGUGGUAGAUCUUCUGGUGGUUGGACAACCUCCCCAGUCAGAAUCACAAUAAGCUCGCAAUUUUAAGUCAUUUUGAGCUGGAAAAAAUAAACCUUGUCCUGGAGUGUUUUUGAGGUACUUCAAGAUGCGCAACGCCACCUCCAUAUGAGGUUUACGUGGCUCAUGCAUAAAUCUACUGAGCACAUGCACUGCAUAUGUAAUGUCUGGUCUCGUGAUGGUCAAGUAAAUCAAACGACCCACUAACCUCCUGUACUUGGCUGGAUCUUUAAGCAAUUCACCUGUGUCAGAUAAUUUCAAAUUUUGUUCCAUGGGAAAUAAGACAGGUCGUACCCCAAGAAAACCACUAUCUUUAAGGAUGUCAAUGGUGUAUUUCCUCUGAGAGAUGCUAAUGCCUUUCUUUGAACGCGAAACUUCAAUACCCAAAAAGAAUUUAAGGUCACCGAGAUCCUUAAUGCGGAAGCGGGUAUGAAGAAAACGUUUAAGAGAAUUAAUGGCACCCAAGUUAUUUCCUGUGAUCAAUAUAUCGUCAACAUAAAUCAAGAGAGCAAUGAAUGACUUUCCUCUGUUGCACGUGAAUAAGGAAUAGUCUGCUUUGGACUGAGUAAAACCAGCAGCUUGAAUAGCUUCAGAAAAUUUUGCAAACCACUGACGAGAAGCUUGUUUUAGGCCAUAUAAAGACUUGUGGAGGCGACAUACCAGAUUCUCCCCCUGUCGCUGAAGACCAGGCGGUGGUGUCAUAUAAAUCUCUUCAUGGAGAUCCCCAUGAAGGAAGGCAUUAUGGACAUCUAAUUGAUGAAGGGGCCAAGAGGAAGCAGCAGCAAGUGCAAGAAGGCUGCGAACAGUAACCAUCUUGGCGGUAGGAGAAAAAGUAUCAUGAAAAUCAACACCCUCUGUCUGUGUAUAACCCUUGGCGACUAACCGAGCUUUGUACCGUUCAAUAGAUCCAUCAGAAUGAUGUUUGAUCUUGUAGACCCACCGACAACCAAUAGGGUGCUUGCCAGGAGGAAGAGGAGUAAGAGUCCAUGUAUGAUUGGUCUCUAAAGCUUGAAGUUCAGAGCGCAUGGCUUGCUGCCAGUUAGGAUCAGAAUUGGCCUCAGAGAAGGAACGGGGCUCCACACUGUGACUGAUGUGAGUAAUGAAAGCAAGAUGUGCUGGUGUAUAUCUGUGAUAAGAAAUAAAGUUGCUCAAGGGAUAACGAGUACCUGAGGUGCGAUGUGAAGACGAAGACUCCGAUUGGACAUCGUUGGGUAGCGUGACUUGAGAGCAAACAUAGUCUUGGAGGCGCACAUUCGGAACCUUGUGACGUUCAGAUUGGCGAGUGGGUUGAACGGGUGGUGCCGGUGAAGGUGGUGCAGUAGGCGGAAGAGAAGAUGGGAUUGCAAGAGGAUCUGGUGCUGGAAGAGGAAGAUCUGCAGAAGGAGGCGCAAAAGGAGUGGAACUCAUUGGACUAAUAGGCAAAGUGUGCUCCGUGGGUUCAGGAGCUAGAUUGGAAUUUUGUGGUGGAGAUGAGUCAUGGGCUGAAAUGGGUAAAGGAAGGCUAGUGUUUGGGAUGGUGGUGGGACCAGCUGUUGGAGUAGAAAAAGGGAAGACAUCUUCCUUAAAUAAAACAUCUCGGCUAGUGAAUAUUUUUUGAGUGGACAAAUCAUAGAGUUUAUAUGCCUUUUGACCAAGUGGGUACCCAAUAAAAAUGGAUUUAAUUGCUCGAGAAUCAAACUUUUUGGUAGGGUGGACUAUAGUAGCAUAUGCAAGGCAGCCAAAUACUCUUAAAUGUGAAUAUGAUGGGGUUUUGUGAUAUAAACGUUCAAAAGGGGUUUGUUUGGAAAGAACUAAAGUGGGAAAUCGAUUAAUCAAAUGAACGGCAGUGAGAAUGCAGUCCCCCCAAAAACGGAGAGGCAAGUGUGCUUGAAAUCGCAAAGCACGUGCGGUCUCAAGAAUAUGACGGUGCUUACGUUCGACAACACCAUUUUGUUGGGGUGUGUAGAUGCAAGAAUGUUGAUAAAUGAUGCCUUGUUCUUUAAAAAAAUCUCGCAAUGAAGAAAAUUCACCCCCAUUAUCUACCCUAAUUGCUUGGAUUGUAGCAGUGAAUUGGGUCUGAACCAUGGAAAAAAAAGAUUUUAGAAUCCCUUGUGUUUCAUGCUUAUGAUGCAUAAGGAAAACCCAGGUAAAGCGAGAAUAAUCAUCCACUAUAGUUAAAAAAUAACGACCCCCAGAAAGGGAAGGAACUUUGUGAGGUCCCCAAAUAUCACAAUGAAUAAGGGAAAAAGGUUUUGAAGUUGAAAUUGAACUAAUGCCAAAAGGAAGGCGAGUUUGUUUAGAAAAAUGGCAAGCAUCACAAACAUUAUGGAAAGAAAAUGAACAAUUCAAAUGUUUUGCUAAAAAUUGUAAACGAGAGGAUGAAAUAUGCCCUAAACGGCGAUGCCAUAAAUCUCCAGGAGUUGUAACCAGGUGACAGGAAGGUUGGAUGGUGGAUGGUGUUCUGUCAGACGCCAACGCCACAAGGUAGUAGAGCCCAUCACGCUCCUUACCCAAACCAAUCAUCGUCCUCGUCUUCAAAUCCUGUAAAAUACACCAAGUGGGAAAGAAAAUUACUGAGCAUUGUAAUCCUUUCGUAAGUCGACUUACGGACAUCAGAUUAACUUUAAAUGUAGGCACACAUAGCACAUCUCGUAAAUAAAAAUAUGAGUUCAAAGGAAGAGUCCCAGUAGAUGCAAUUGGCGCUGUUUCUCCACUAGGCAUAGUGACUGGCAACAUAGAGGAAGUAUUCAUCCUCUUGGUAAGGAAUUUCGAAUCUGAUGUAAUAUGAUGAGUUGCUCCACUAUCAAUUAUCCAAUGUAAAUUGGGUAACAAUUCGGAAAUACCUGAAGAAGCUGAGGCGGUAUUGGCUUGUGGUGCAAUGUGGGAUGGAUUAGUGUUGUCACUCAUCAUCGCAUGAAUUUUCUUACAUUGAUCCUCGGAUAAAGAUGGCAUAGCUGUGUGAAUCUCCUGCAAGGAUGGACCAUUGGAUGCCACAUUAUUGGCGGAACUGCUGCUACCUUUCCCUUUACCUUUCCCGGAUUUGUGAAGCCUGUGUCCAGGGGGAUAGCCAUGUAGCUUGUAGCACUUGUCCACUGUAUGGUGAUCCUGAUCGCAAUGGCUGCAGUGAAGAGGUUUGCGCCCAGAAGAAUUUGAACGCUGAUUGUUUCGAACUGCCAUAGCUGCUGGUUCGGUGAUUGCUUGGCUGGAACCUAAGUCACGCUGCUUUUCUUCUUGGGUGAUCAAAGAAUAAGCCUUGCGAACCUUAGGGAGAGGCUGCAUAAGAAGUAUUUGGCCUCGAAUGGCGCUGUAGGACUCAUUAAGCCCCAUAAGGAACUGCAUCAACGAGUUUCGUUCCUCCUGUUCGACAUGCUUCUUCAUGGCACCGCAAGAACAAGCUGGGACGUCGCUGUAAGAAGACAGCUCGUCCCACAGACUCUUCAUCUUGGUAUAAUAAACAGCAACAGACAUCUGCUCCUGUGAGAGGGAAGCUAUGGUGCGUUGUAUCUCGAAAAUACGAGGAGCGUUAAGUUGGGAAAAACGUUCUUUAAGGUCCUCCCAAAUCUCUUGUGCGGUGGAGGAGUAUAACACGCUUUCUGCAAUAUCUGGUUCUAUCGAAUUGAGCAGCCAAGAUAAAACCAUGUCGUUGCAACGCUGCCAAACCUCAAAAGUCUCAGGAUUAGUUUUCUCCGAAGGGACUUUGAUUGUCCCAUUCACGAACCCCAAUUUGUUCUUCGCGCUUAGGGAGAUGCGCAUAGAGCGGCACCAUGUCGCAUAAUUGUUUCCAUUAAGGAUUUUGGAAACAAGAACCAUUCCAGGAUGAUCAGAAUGGUGAAUGAAAAAGGGAUCGGAAGCAUCGUUUUUGCUUCCCGAUGCAGCGGAUUCUUGGUCUUUGGUCAUGGUGGCAGCGUCAAGGAGAGGAUGAAAAUUAAGGUUGAAAGGUGACUAUUUGACAAGUGCGGCUAGAGCCAAGAGCUAGAGUUUCCUCUGCUCUGAUACCAUGUAAAAUAGGUAUGAAAAGAUAUUUGACCAGAAUAAUCUUAUUGAUCAUUGAUAUAUGUUUAUAUAAUACAUUCCGUAGGUUUUCCCUAUAAGUAAGCUAACUAGCUAGGAAAGAAUAUAUACGGGAAUCAAAUAAUAUAACAUUCCUAUUCUAUUAUACAAUCCCUAAACUGAAGGGUAAUCUUUGAUUCUCAACACUUUGAUCCAGCAUGCCAAGAACAAUAUGAGAUCAUUCUUACAAGCCAAGGAACUCUCUUCUUCUUCUUCUGCUAUGGUUUUGAACAAAAUGAAUUCUGAACAGAAGAACCAAGCUGAGGAUUCUCUAAGAAAAGUCAUGUACUUGAGCUGUUGGGGUCCUUAUUGAAAUCCCUCCAACAUUAUAGGUAGUUGAGGAUGUACCACUUAGAUUUUAUUUUUGAAACUGAGUUUAAGCUGUAUAUACAUGAUUUGAAUGUAUAUUUUCCCAACCCAACAACAAGAAAAUCCCAGAUUUUGAUGUUUACCAAUGAACAUGAACGUUGGUUUUUCAGUCAAACAACUAACCAGUUGAAAUUAUCACAAAGCCAAAAACAAAGAACCAACUAGUUGAAAUUUAUAUCAGUUAGGUGCAACAAGAACACAAUCUCAUCCUAUUGAUCAUCGUUGACAAAAUUCAAGUACAAAAGUAAUGUAAAAAUCCGAAGGGUUCGUUUAGAUCAAAAUCUUAGAGCAUUACGUUUUUCAAAUAUAAAAUGAACACACACCAGACAUGUUGAUAUUCCAUCUUAUUAGUCAUCUAAUUCAUCAACUAUAUAUGACGCUUUUAUCACAAACUAAAUAACUAACUCUUAAUUUAAUGAUAUUUCAUUUAAAAAAAAGAAAGAGAAUCCUCAUUAAUUUAGUAUAUUAUGUUUCUUCUUCAUCAAAUACCAAUUGAUACUCAAUCGACAUACAUCCAUGUGUGACAAUCAUGUGAACUCUAAUAUGAUCACUUCUCCAACAAGAGUGAUGGAAAUUUAGAGGAAACAUUCUAGUUUUUUUGGGGCAGCAGAUGUUAGGGACACUCAUCCGUUCAUCCAUGUGUGAGAAUAAUAUGAGCUCCAAAGAAGUUGAAGUUCCACUCAAAAUUAAUUUGAAAAAAAUAAUCCAACUUUUUAUGAAUUGUUACUAAAAUAUUCAACCAUUCAAUAUGAGACAUUUUCAUUUUCGCAUUUUCACAGUUACAUUUUCAACUAGCACGCAAACAAGUAAACUACUGGUUUCACUCCCAGACUGCUACUACUAGCCCACAGUCCAAAAUAAAGUGACGAGAGACUGUUUCUGUCUUUUGGCCCACACUUCAGAUCAAACAAGCAAACAAAUGGUUUCACUCCCAUACUUCCUAAAUACAAUAAUUUAAAUCAAAACCAUGUGCCCAUGAGGCAACAAAACUCUGUGCUUAUCCAAACUCCAGAAUAUUAAAUUCCACUUUUACCCCUGCCUAGUACAUCAUAUUGCCUCCAUCCGCAUGUACAAAACAGUAAUAUCUCCAAAUAUAGUGUAACAUCCACAUACCUUACCAAAAGAAACAGAAGAAAACAAAACCAGCUCUGGUUUCUUGCCACAAGCCCACCUUUUAAAAAAAAAAUUCCCCUAUAUGGGGAGCACCUCAAGAUCAUCUUCUCCAUCAAUACACUCAAACAUUCACAUUCACAUUCACUACUGAAGAGAAGAAAUCAUAAUCGUGAUGAGUUCAUCAAGUGCAAGCAAGGCUAUUGUGGCAGCAAGUGUUGGAAUUGUGGAGGCAUUGAAGGACCAAGGGAUAUGCAGGUGGAACUCUGCUUUAAGAUCUGUGCACCAGCAAGCCAAAACCCAACUCAGGUCAUUGUCUCAGGCCAACAACAAGCUCUCAUCUUCUUCUGCUUCAGCUGCUUUCAGUAAAGUCAGAGAUGAGAAGCUGAAGAAAUCAGAGGAGUCUUUGAGGACAGUCAUGUACUUGAGCUGCUGGGGUCCCAACUAAUUCAAUCAGCACAGAGACAGAGAGCAAAAAGAUCAGAAUUUUGCGCAAGAGGUUGCUGAAAUGAAGCUUGGGCAUGAACAUAAGGAUGAAACAAGAUUACACAACCCAUGAAAGGGCUCCUUGAGUUUUAUAUAUAUCAAAUGAUCAGGAUAUGUAAACUUGUUGGGUUACAUACUACUGGCAAAGGCAAUCGUUGUAAAUGGCAGACAGUUCAUUCAUGUCUGCUUGCUUGCUUGGGGCAAGUUGAUGUAAAUUACCACAUAAUGCAAAAGCACACAUAUUUCUGAGCAAUUGAUGCCUUGAUCAUUCUUUUCGAGUUUUUCUUUUUGCCCUUUCUUAUUAAUCCAUUAUUUACUUCGUUUUAACUGAAGGAUUUAUGAUACUAUAAAUUUGAGUAUUUAGUAGUGAAACAUAAUUGAGUUGCCCUAAUUGGGUAAAAUCCAUUGUGUUGAAUGGUUUCUUUCUCCAACAAAAGCUAUAGCCCAACACAUCCCAUGGUUUUUCCCACAUUUUAUGGGGUUUCCUUCCUCCUAUUCAUCCUCUGCUUUCGUUUCAAGUAAGCUCAGCUGCUGAGGUCCCGGUUGAAUAUUAAUUCAGCUUGUUUGUUAGAUCCCCUGAAUUCUCUAUGAUAUAUACAAUUGAUUAUUCUAUGCACCAGAAACUUAAACAUUAAUCAAGCUACUUAUUAAUGUUUAAGUUUUUAUGCUAACACACAUUUUAUAUCAAAUGAGUGUUGUUGGUGCUCUCAGAAAUGGUGAGAGGUACCUCUUCUUUUUGUAUUUUUGUUCACCACUCUUAAUUAGCGAUGAGUAAUACCAUCACGUUAAUUAUUGUGCAAGAAAUUCAUGUAAUUGUCGUGGAGGAAAUUCAUGUAAUAUGUAGAUUAAAUCAUACUCAUCAAAUGAAAAUUAACCUAAUUAUAAUGCUCACUAUUUCUUUAAUGAUAUGUCAACACAUAGUAGACUCAUGCCUAUAAUUAGUCGAAGCAAAUAGAGAGAAGGAAAGACACUAUAAUGUUUGUUUUUCCGCCCACGGUCCACACCAGACCAAGUAAACAAAUAGUUUCACUCCUACAUUGUGUUUGAAAUAGAUGCGCAAGAGGCAGUAAAUAGAAUCAAUUCUGACAAAGAGUGUUUUGAAGCAGAAGAGAACUUGGUGGAAGAUAUUAAGGAGAUGCGGUUGUGGUUUAGAUCUUUCUCGUGUGAACAGCAGUGAUGGGAUGGUAAUGUAGUUGCUCCUGAGCUAGCCCAAUAUGCUAUUAGAAACACAAACAUGGAUUGAGGAGAAGCCUCCUUGGUUGAGUUCUUUGCUUGCUGCAGAUUUAAGAGCUACUGGUUGAUUUAUAUAUUCGACAUCAAGUGGGAGGCCUUUUUUUACCUUUGGCGGAUUUUCCUCUUUUUUGGGGUUUUUUUAUGCCAACGAUUUUUUACAAAGGCCCAAACUGUUAACGUGAGUUAACCUACUAAAUCAAGGAGAUUUAUUUCCUAAGUUAAUUAGGUGAUUUACUUCAUUGUUUUAUAUAAUUGACACAUCCUUGUAUAAUUAGGAGAUAUUCUCCUAAUUAAUUACUGUAUCUAUUUCUUUAUGAAGUACCCUUGUAAAGUCCUAUAUAUACCUCCUUAUGGAGAAGAAUACAAUUAACCUAAAGUAUUCAAACCAUAUUCAUAUUUUAGCAUGGUAUAAGAGCAAUCUAUCCUAGGUUGUCUCUAAGCCCUCAAAUCAUACCCUCAAAUUCAAACCCAAACCCUAAAUCAAAUUCCUUACCUCCCAAAUCAAAUCCUCUUAUCAAACUCCUUAAACACAUACCUCUCAAAUCAAAUUCCUAAAUCAAAUUCAUACAUCAAAUUCCUCAAAUCAAAAUCCUCAAAUUCUCAAAUAAACUCCUUAACCACAAACACACACUCAUAUCAAAUGUUACUUCUGCUGCAAUGCCAGGACCCCCUACGAUUCUCUCCCUUCUUGCAAACUCACAGAAGCAUGCGAUCAAUCGUGUUAAACUGGCUACCCAGGCUCGUGCUUCUAUCACUACCACCAAAGGUUCUGCUUUUCAUAUGUCCUCUCCAAAGCCCACAUGAAUUAUUGACUUGGGUGCUAUGUAUCACAUGACAUUUGAUCCUGGCCAACUUAUUAGUCGCAAACCAUCCACUCAGUCGGUAGUGUCUAAUGCUAAUGGUAUCCUCUCCCAUGUGGUUGGAGAUGACUCUCUAUCUCUCUCUAACUCCAUACAUAUGGAUUCUGUAUUGAUUGUCCCAUUCUUGGACCAUAACUUGUUGUAUGUUGCACAACUUACUACUACUUUGAGGUGUAUUGUAAUAUUUUGGACAAAUCAUUGUGUUUUUCAGAACAUUCUCACGAGGAAGACGAUUGGUUGUGAUACUAGGUGGGGCAAACUCUACUACUUGGACUAGGCAUCGGAUAGUGAGACCAAGGUUGGUCAAGCUUUCACAACAAGUGGAGCUAGUUCUGAGAGGCAAAGAGACAAAGUUUGGUUAUGGCAUAAAUGUCUUGGGCAUGCCUCAUUUGGUUAUCUAAAGAAGCUGUUUCCAUCAUUAUUUUUCAGUUUUGAUGUUUCUAGCUUCCAGUGUGAUACGUAUGAAUUAGUUAAGAGCCAUCGUGUUCCUUUCCCAUUAAGUACAAAUAAAAGUUUGGUUCCAUUCUUCCUUAUUCAUUAUGAUGUUUGAGGGCUUGCUUAAAUCACUACUCCGGUUGGAGCUUGAUGGUUUGUCACCAUCACUGCGCACGAAUGACUUGGGUUCUCCUUCUCAAAACCAAAGGGGAAGUCAGUUUAACAUUUCAAUAGUUCUAUAAAAUAGUGGCAACUCAGUUUCAUGCCAAAAUCCAGGUUUUCCAUUUUGACGAUGGCGGCAAAUUUCUUAAUUAUAAUCUCAACAAAUUUUUACAAGAUCAUGGCAUCAUACAUCAACGCUCGUGUUCAUAUACUCCCCAACAAAAUGGGGUGGUUGAGCAAAAGAACCAACAUUGAUUGGAAGUCGUUCGUGCAUCUUUAUUUGAUACCAACAUGCCUCGGAAGAACCAACAUGUGAACCCUAAACCCUAACAUGAUCACUUCGCCAAUAAGAGUGAUGGAAAUUUGGAGGAAGCAUUCUUUUUUUUGGGGGGGGAGUGGGGGGGGGGGGGGGGGGGGGGGGGGGCGGCGGGCGCAAAUGUUAGAGACACUUGUCCAUCCAUCCACAUGUGAGCUUUACAUAAUUGUUGGAGGAAGUUGAGAUUUCAUUCCAAAAUUAAUUGGUAAUGGGGCAAGUAGUCCAACUUCACGCAAUUUCUCAACUAUCCAAUGUGAUAUAUAAUCAUGUGAGCUUUACGUAAUUAUUGAAGGAAGUUGCGAUUUCACUCCAAAAUUAAUUAGUAAUGGAGAAAAUAGUUCAACUUCAUACAAUUGAUCAACUAUCCAAUAUGAGACAUUUUCACUACUACAAACAAGUAAACUACUGGCCAGAAGCUGCUACCAAAAUAAAGUGACGAUACGAGAGACUCUGUUUCUGUCUUUUGGUCCGCUCUCCAAAUCAAACAAGCAAACAAAUGGUUUCACUCCAAUACGGCGGGCCUAAAUACAAUAAUUUAAAUCAAAACCAUGUGCCCAUGAGGCAACAAAAAUUCUGUGCUUAUCCAAACUCCAAAAUAUUAAAUUCCACUUUUACCCCUGCCUAGUACAUCAUAUUCCCUGCAUCUGCAUGUACAAAACAGUAAUAUCUCCAAAUAUAGUGUAAAACAUCCACAUACCUUACCAAAAGAAACAGGAGAAAAACAAAACCAGCUCUGGUUUUUCGCCACAAGCCCACCUUUUUUUAUUAGAAAUCCCCUAUAAAAAGAGCACCUCAAGAUCAUUUUAUCCAUCAGUACACUCAAACAUUCACAUUCACAACUGAGAAGUUCAAAGCAUCAAAGAGAGAUCAGUAAGGAAGAGAAAAGAAAUCAUAAUCGUGAUGAGUUCAUCAAGUGCAAGCAAGGCUAUUGUGGCAGCAAGUGUUGGAGUUGUGGAGGCAUUGAAGGACCAAGGGAUAUGCAGAUGGAGCUCUGCUUUAAGAUCUGUGCACCAGCAAGCCAAAACCCAACUCAGGUCAUUUUCUCAGGCCAACAACAAGCUCUCAUCUUCUUCUGCUUCAGCUGCUUUCAGUAAAGUCAAAGAUGAGAAGCUGAAGAAAUCAGAGGAGUCUUUGAGGACAGUCAUGUACUUGAGCUGCUGGGGUCCCAACUAAUUCAAUCAGCACAGAAACAAGCGCAAAAAGAUCACAUUUCUGUUGAGGCUUUGAAAGAUCAAGGCUUCUGCAGAUGGAGUUGCACCACCAUGAGGUCUGUGCACCAGCAUGCCAAGAACAAUAUGAGUUCUUUCUUACAAACCAAGGAACUCUCUUCUUCUUCUUCUUCUGCUAUGGUUUGAACAAAAUGAAUUCUGAAGAGAAGAAUCAAUUAAGAAAAGUCAUGUACUUGAGCUGUUGGGGUCUUUAUUGACACAAAUUGGAGCUCAUGGUGAAGUCCCUCAAGAUUUGAAGAUUUUUGAGACUGAAUUGAAGCUGUGUACAUUAUUUGAAUGUAAAUUUUCCCAAUCAACCAAAAAAACAAGAAAAUUUAUGUUCUUUGGUUUUUAUCAAUGAACAUUGGAUCUAUUAAUUAGACAAUUCUCGACCAGGUUAACCUUAGCUUACUGUAUCAUUGGUACUUAUUUGGAAUUCUAAUUCAAUACAUGUUGGUUUUAUUAAUGGUUCCUCCUUCAAAUAGAGAUGCUUUUGGUUCUAUUUUUCAGUCAAUCAACUAACCAGAUGAGAUUAUCACAAAACAAAAAACAGAGAACAAACCAGUUGAAAUUUAUUAGUUAGGGGCAACAAGAACACACAAGGUUAUCUCAUCCUAUUGAUCAUUGUUUGCAAAAUAAAAAGGCAGACGGUUCAUUUCGAUCAACCAAAACUUUAAAAACUAACUCUUAAUAUAGUGAUGUGAAAACUAACUCUUAAUAUAGUGAUAUUUCACUUAGAAUGAAGAAAGAGAAUCCUCAUUUACUUUACAAAGGGUUAUGAAGCGUUUAACAAAAGGCCUUGUCAUUUGGUCAAGGUCAACACAGUCUUGUUUAGUGGAAAAGAACCAUAAUCUUGUUCAGUGGAAAAGGACCAGAGUCUUGUUUAGUGGAAAAGGUCACUGAACAAGGAUCUGAGUCUUGUUUAGUGGAAAAGGACCAGAGUCUUGUUAGUAUUGUUAAAUGGAAAAAUGACCUGACUUACAGGCUAAUUGUCCCAAUUUCAAACUUCUAUGAUACAGUUGACAAUAUGUGUAGGAGAACACCUCCCUCCGGCAAUAUCACUUAUAUAAAACAAGCCUUAUGAUGUGUUUAAGUCCGGCUCAUAGUUUGUGCAGGCUGGACGAUGGCACAGGGCCCCCAAAUAUUUGAGGCUCCAAUUUUUUUUCUAGCCCACUUCUAAAAGAAACCCAAAAAAACCCUUCAUUUAUCUACAGUUUAAUUUUUUAAAAUAAACCCUUUAUUCCUUUUGACAAUAAGACCAAAGAAAGGAAAAUAGGGAGCCUUUUGACUAAAGAAAACGGGCCCCCCUGUUUUCAAUUUCCUAACCCAACAAUUUUAAGUUUGUUGUAAAGUUUAGAGUGGAGACUAGGGCUGGGCACGGUUCGGUUUGGACCGGUUUCGGGGAAAAAAUAGAACCUGAUCCGAUAGUGCAGACCGGUUCAGUUUGGACCGGUUCUGCUCAACAUCCAUACAGAAAUCCGAACCAAACCAGACCUGUCCGAUUCCGGUUCGGUUCCUGCGGUUCCGGUUUUUUUUUAUUUUAUUAUUUUUUUAUAAUUUAAAAUUUAACAAAUCUGCCCAAAAUGUAUUUAUAUACUAACAUACCCCAAAUUUGAGGUUCCAUCAAGCUUUCAACACAUCAAAAUGAAUCCAACUUCAACAAAAAUACAAUCCAAAUUCAAAUGAAUCCAACUUAAACAAAAAUUCAAUCCAAAUUCAAUCCAACUUCAACAUCAUCAAAAUGAAUCCAACUUCAACAAAAAUACAAUCCAAAUUCAAAUGAAUCCAACUUCAACAAAAAUUCAAUCCAACUUCAACAUCAUCAAAAUGAAUCCAACUUCAACAAAAAUACAAUCCAAAUUCAAUCCAACUUCAACAUAUAAAUUACAACCCAAAUUAAAUCAAACUUCAACAAAAUAAGUUCCAAAAUAAAUUACUAGCCAAAUACAACCCAAAUUCAACCAAAUAUACAUUACAACCCAAAUUAAAUUCCUCCUAACAUUGGAAAGUAGUUGGAGCUAUGGUGCUAGGUGUGGAUGAACUCAUAAUAUCUACAUAAAAAAAAUCAAAGGAUCAACAUACUCACAUUAACACUUUGAUUUACAACCCACUUCCACUUGUUGGGUUUGUUAAACCAAUAUAUCCAUUUCUUAGGACAAUUCUAUCUCUUAGGAAAGCCUCUGAUCAUGAUUCUGCUCUGGACUAAUAAAAAAAAUCAAAGACUUCCAUUAAAAACAGAAACUUCAGUUUUGUUAAACAAUUUAGGCAGGAACACUUUGCCUUUGGGAAAUCAUUAAAAAUCCAUUUUGAUUCAAAAUGGUGUGAACAUUUCCAGAUCACACGUAGACAUAUAAAACUUCAACAUAUCAAAAGUUCAUCGAAUUCCGAGUUAAGGAAGCCAGUCAAAGACUAAAUCCAAAAUAGACUAGGCUGCAGAGUUUUCUAUUUUCUGCAGAAUAAUGCCAACUUCGAAAAUUUGCCAAAUUGAAUUGGAUUAGUACAAUUGUAAAAAAUAAACAAUUGCAUUAAUAAAUUUGCCAAAUAAAUCUACUAAAUUAUAAACUGUUUCCAAACCAAAGAGUACAUUAAGUCUUGCAGUAAAAAAAGUCUGGUAGAGUUGUAUAUAUCAAUGUCAUGUAUAUGUAGGAAAAGGAAAUUACCUAAUUUCUCAGUGUGGCGAACAUCAUCAACCAGCAAAACUCUGUAACUAUCCCUACUCCCAAUACCUCUCUUGUCCUUGAGUCGUCCAAUAUCUCCUCCUGUAAUUUCAACAUUAAAUAAGGCAGAAGAAUAGUACAGUACAAUGCUACAUUGCAAUUGGGUUUUCUAAUAUGUUUUUCUCCCCCUUUUCAUAACAAAUCUCAACUAUUGAAUACAAAACAAAAAUCCCAGAUGAGAAAAAUCAAGACAGUUGAAGGAUAAAUGAUAAAGUAGGUACCUUGUUCAAGCUGGGUAGCAGGGUCAAAUUGGGAUUGGUCAAACUUUGGGCGCUCCAAGACCCCAGCACCACCCUUGGAAGACCUAAACCUGGCCUUCACAGCCAUGCCAGAGAGAGUCAGAAAAUUGAAUUGGGGAAAGAAAAAAAAAAGGAGAGAGAUAGAGAGAGAAUCUGACCUGCAAUGCAACGACUGAGAGGCUAAGAGAAGAGCGGCGGCAGAGAGGGGUGUGACUGUGACGUGCUGGUUGAGAGAGAGGUUUGGAAUCGGUGGCUGGUGGCUGGCUGGCGGCUGGCUGAGUGAGUAUGAAACUAAAUGGGAAGGAGAGGAAAGAACGAAGAAUGAAAAAACCCAAUCUGAAUUUGGUGUAAUCCUGUGUGUGCGCUACCUAUGGUAGCAGCAUACACAACCAAUCAAAAUUUGACAGGUAUGAAAAUAUAUAUAAUUUCAAAUAUAAAUAUAUAUAAUAUUUAAAAAAUAUAUAAAUUAAUUCUAUUGGACCGGUUCGGAUUGGACCGGUUCCUUAGGAUGGAAAACCGGAACCGGAACCGGUCUGAACCGGUUCGGUUUGGAUUUUUCUCGAUUUUUGACUUUUUUGGUCAACACGGUUUUUUUCGGUUUUUUCCGGAUUGGUUUGGUUCGGUUUUGCGGUUUUGCGGUUCAAAUGCCCACCCCUAGUGGAGACCACAUAUUUAGAAAAAAUGAAGCAUGUCAUGAUGAAGGUGUUGAAGAAUUGGAUCCACAUAUUAGAAGGAAUGAUUACAUAUCCAUGUGAAGUUAUCAACUUUGCCUGUAAACGGGCUUCAUCCUUCCCUUGCAUGAGACUACAAUUAGAGAAGGAAGAGAGAGAGCUCGGAGAGAAAGAAGAGAAGGAAAGAAAGAGGGUGAGUGAGCGGAGAGAAAAAUGAGAGCAGUGAGAAAUUCUCCAAGAGAGAAAAAAAUCAGUGAGCCACAUAUAUUGUAAAUAUUAAAGUUGUAACCCUAUUAUUUGAUAUAGUGGAAAAGUUAUAACUGCUGCUCUUCGAGGACGUAGACAAGGCCGAACCUCGUUAAAUGUUGUGUCUCAUCUACUUUACUUUAUCUCACAUAUUCCAGUUAUUUAAUAACAAAGUUGGAUGUUUUAUGCAAGCUUUGGAAUUUGAAGGCAUGAUUAUAAGAAAUUUAUAAAAUCAGGUGAAUUCCUAAUUUUUUUUAAUUUUUUAUCUAAUGUGAAUGAAUUUUGUACUUUAAAUUAUGACUUUUAGAUUUACCCUUAAAUUUUUCCCUUAAAAAUCCACUAUGAAUGAGAAAAUAAUAUUGUUUUGUUCAUAACUUUGUCAUUAACAUUUUUUCUUCUAUGAGAAUAUCAUAACAUUUUGUACUUGUAUAUAAAAGGCCUCAAUAUCACUCGUUAUACAGAGCCUCCAAAAUCAAUAAACCGCCGGGAUGUAUUUCUUACUAAUUGAUACUCAACCGAUGUGCAUCUACCUGUGACAAUCAUGUGACUGUUCUGUCGUUUGGCCCACACUCCAAAUUAAACAGGCAAACAAAUGGUUUGACUCCCACACCGCAGGCUAAAAUACAAUAAUUCAAAUCAAAACCAUGACCCAUGAGGCAGCAAAACGUUGUGCUUAUCUGAAUAUCCCAAUCCAUCUGCACGUACACAACAGUGAUAUCCCAAUCCAGACAUACUUCUGGAAACAGAAGAAAACAAAACCAGCUCUGUUUUUUUGGUUACAAGCACACCGUUUUUUCUUUUUAUAAUCUCGUAUAUAAAGAGAGAGUAAAAUUUUCGAAACAAUACCCUUAUUUCCAUGUCUUCCAGCUACUUUAUCACCUACUUUGAUUUCACGUUACUCAUUAUCAUCUUCUCCAUCAAUAAUACACUCAAAACAUUCACAUUCACAGCUGAGGAGUUCAAAAGAUUUAAGAGAGAAAUAGUAGAGAGGAGAAAAGAAAUCAUAAUCAUGAUGUCAAGUACAAGUGUUGGAGUGGAGGCAUUGAAGGAUCAAGGGAUAUGCAGAUGGAACUCUGCUCUAAGAUCUGUGCACCAACAAGCCAAAACCCAACUCAGGUCAUUUUCUCAGCUCUCAUCUUCUUCUGCUUCAGCUGCUUUCAGUACAGCCGGAGACGAAAAGCUGAAGAAAUCAGAGGAGUCUUUGAGGACAGUCAUGUACUUGAGUUGCUGGGGUCCCAACUAAUUCAAUCAGCACAGAGACAAGAGCAAAGAUAUCAGAUUUUUGUGCAACCGGUUGCUGAACUGGAGCUUGGGCAUGAACAGAAGGAUGAAACAAGAUGACACAACCCAUGAAAGGGCUCCUGGAGUUUUAUAUAUAUCAAAUGAUCAGGAUAUAUAAACUUGUUGGGGUUACAUACUGGCAAGCAAUCGUUGUAAAUGGCAGAUAAUUCAUUCAUGUCUGCUUGCUUGCUUGGGACAAAUUUAUGUAAAUUAUGUUAUGACAAUUACCUAUAAAUUUGAGUAUUUAGCAGUGAAACAUAAUUGAGUUGCCCUAAUUGGGUAAAAUCCAUUGUCUUGAAUGGUUUCUUUCUCCAACAAAAGCUAUAGCCCAACACAUCCCAUGGUUUUUCCCACAUUUUUAUGGGUUUCCUUCCUCCUACAUUCAUCUCUGCUUUGGUUUCAAGUAAGCUCAGCUGCUGGGGUCCCGAUUGAAUAUUAAUUCAACCUUGUUUAUUUACAAAAUGACUGUGAAUUGUAUAUCCCUGAAUUCUCUAUGAUAUAUACAAUUGAUUAUUCUAUGCACCAGCAACUUAAACAUUAAUCAAGCUACUGUGGUUUUGGUCAGAACGAAAACAUUAAUUUUUAGUGUAAAAAGGUUUUAUGCCUACACACAUUUCAUAUUAAAUUGAGUGUUGAUGGUGCUCUCAAAAAUGGUGGCAGGUGCCGUAGGUACCUUCCUUUUUAUAUUUUUGUUCACCACUCUUAAUUGACGGUGAGCAAACCCAUCACGUUUAUUGUCGUGGAGGAAAUUCAUGUAAUAUGUAGAUUAAAUCAUAUUCAUCAAACAUGUAAUAUAUAGAUUAAAUUAUACUCAUUAAACAAUAAUUAACCUAAUUAUAAUGCUCACUAUUUCUUUAAUGACAUGUCAACACAUAGUAGACUCACGCCUAUAAUUAGCCAAAGCAAAUAGAGAGAAAGAAAGACACUAUUGUUAUACAACUAAAAUAAUCAGAGAGUAUGAGAAGUACCACUAAAUAUUGGGAGUAUAUUGGGAGUGGAAUUAUAUUUGCUCUUUGUGGUGUUUACACUGACAGAAUUUCUUCUCAGAUAGAACUCAUUCUCUCUUUUCUUCUCUGACUCUGACUCUCUUCUCUUCUAAUUGGUUGUGUAUUUUACAACUUAAAAGGAAGCCUAUUUAUAGGCAAUUAGAAUGGCCUCCCGUGGAUGCAUCUUCAACAUUUUCUCUCAACAUCAUCAUUCAUCCCAACAUCAUAAUUUCAUCUUUUGACUAAUACUCCCUUACUUUAUUCAUGUGGCCUUCACUUCUUACUUUAUAACAACUAUAAUGUUUGUUUUUCUGCCCACGGUCCACACCAAACCAAGUAAACAAAUAGUUCCACUCCUACACUGCGAGCCUAAAUACAUAUAAGUUUGCACAUAAUUUUGGGUUUCAAGACAUUGUGUUGGAAAUAGACGCGCAAGGGACAGUAGAUAAAAUCAAUUCUGACAAAGAGUUUUUUGAAGCAGAAGGAAACUUGGUGGAAGAUUAAAGAUGCGGUUGUAGUUUAGAUCUUUCUCGUGUGAAUGGCAAUGACGUGACAAUAAUGCAGUUGCUCAUGAGCUAGCCCAAUAUGCUAUUAGGAACACUGGUUUUUAUACAUGAAUUGAGGAGGAGCCUCCUUGAUUGAGUUCUUUACUUGCUGCAGAUUUAAAAGCAACUUGUUGAUUUAUGUAUUCAAUGUCAACUGGGAGGCGCUUUUUUUCUUGUGGCGAAUUUUCCUCCUUUUUGGGAGUUUUUUAGGCCAAAUAUUUUUGUACAGAGGCUCAAACUUGUACAUCCCUUUCCUUCUUUUUGUUGUAUUAUGUUGGUUGGUUAUUGAAUGAAGUCCAGUUAUCUCAAUGUAAAGAAAAAAGGGCAAAAAAAGAAAGCAAAGCAAAACCAUAUGCCCACGUGGCAGCAAAAUGUUGUGCUUGUCCAAAUUCUGAAAUCCCACUUCUACCCAUGUUUAAUUGAUCAUUUCUACUGCAUCUGGAUGUCCAGUUGAGUAAUAUCUGAACUCAUAGUGCAUCAUCCACAAGGUCCAAAAGAAACAAAAACCAUUGGCUUUUCUAUCCCAAAGAAAAAAGACCCAUUUGCUUUCACUGAGGAAACCGCCUCUAGUUUUUGGGGACGGACAAAAAAGCACACCGUUUCUAAUCCCCUAUAUAAAGAAGCACUCUUUGCUCAUCUACUUCAUCGGACACUUACACAUUCACAUACCAACUGAAGAGUUCAAAAAAAUCAAAGACAGAAAAAUCUAGUAGAUAAGAGAAGAUAAGAGAAAUCAUAAUCACGAUGAGUUCAUCAAGUGCAAGCAAGGCUAUUGUGGCAGCAAGUGUUGGAGUUGUGGAGGCACUGAAGGACCAAGGGAUCUGCAGAUGGAACUCUGCUUUAAGAUCUGUGCACCAACAAGCCAAAACCCAACUCAGGUCAUUUUCUCAUGCCAACAACAAGCUCUCAUCUUCUUCUGCCUCAGCUGCUUUGGGUAAAGUCAGAGAUGAAAAGCUGAAGAAAUCAGAGGAGUCUUUGAGGACAGUCAUGUACUUGAGCUGCUGGGGUCCCAACUAAUUCAAUCAACACAAAAACAAGAGCAAAAAUAUGACAUUUUUGUGCAAGCGGUUGCUGAAAUGGAGCUUGAGCUUGAACAAGGGAUGAAACAAGAUGACAACCCAUGAAGAGCUCCACCAAAUGAGGACAUAGUUAGAUAUUGGCAAUCGUUUUGUGCUUGUAAAUGGCAGACAAUUCACGUCUGCUUGGGGCAAAUUGAUGUAAAUUAUGUCAUAUUAAGACAAUUACCAUAUAAAACAUGUAUGUUUCUGAGAAUUGCUGCCUCGAUCAUUAUUUUGGUCUCUGUUUUUUUGUGUAUAUAUUUUGCCCAUUGUUUAUUUUGUCAUGAGUAGAAGAUUUAUCAACCCUACAGGUCUGAGUUGAAUUUGUUUAAUUUCAAAACAGUAUAUUUGAAGAAGGAAACGUUUUAUGGAAUUAGAAACAUCCCAAUCUGAAACUAGGACAGAAGAUUAGCCAUGAUGGCUCAGCCAAUACAUCUCAUGCUCUAUUGGAAAGGAAAAUACUUACUUCCCUUCCCUCCUACAGGUAAGGAUACAGCUACAGGUAAGGAUACAGGUAAUGAGUCAAAUGAGGCAAGUAGAAUCCUAUUGGAAAUAUGAAUUUAGAAUAUAAUAAUAUCAAUAUAGUAAUGGAUCUCCAAACCCAACUAUUUUCACCAGUAGUUUCCAAGAAGCAUUCUCCUUCUUAAAUAUUUCUUAACUCAAACCAAUUGGAGUGUCUCCAAAAAAAAAAAAAAAAAAGAAGAAGAAGAUAAUUUCCACUAGAAAACAAACAAAAACAAGUGGUCUUUCCUCCCAUACCUGAGGCUUAAAUGGAUUUUAUGAAGGAAAACCGUGUGCUGUGGUCCUACCCAACCCAAUUUUGUCUCCGUCAAUGAAUGUGACAAAUAGUUGACAGGAAAAAAAAUGAACGUGACCAAGUAGCCCAAUCUUGACUCACCGCUGAGGAAAAACCACUGGCUACCCCAGCAAAAACCUCUACAGCUAGAGCUAGCCCAUGGCUUUUUUUUCCCCACAUUUUAUGGGGCUUAGUUUUAGUGUCACUCUCCCUCCAUAUAAAAGCAACACCAACUCCCCAUUUACUUCAUCAAAAUUCAAACACAUCAAAACAUCAGUUUUACUUCCCAUCAAGUUUAAGAGUGUUCUUAUUAAGUUUACAGAAGAAGAUAUCAAUAUGAGCAGUUCAUCAUCACCAGCAGCAAGGAGAGGUUGGGUGGUGGCAGCAAGUGUUGGAGUUGUGGAGGCCUUGAAAGACCAAGGGAUCUGCAGGUGGAAUUAUACUAUGAGAUUAAUGCAGCAGCAUGCAAAGAGCCAACUUGGGUCUUUUUCUCAGGCUAACAAGCUCUCUUCCUCAUCCUCUGCUCUGGUUUCAAGCAAGCUUAGAGAUGAGAAGGUGAAGCAGUCUGAAGAGUCUCUCAGGAAAGUCAUGUACCUCAGCUGCUGGGGACCCAAUUGAUUUCAGCAACUACAUAAUUUGUAGCUGAAGAACAUGAUCAAUACAAUUUGGCACUGAAGGCAGGCUUGGAUUACAAAUUUUCAAGUUUUGAGGCAUGGGAUGAUGAUAGCUGGAAACAUGUGGUUAAGUUGACCAUGGUUGGUGUAGGAUUUGCAGCCUGAAGAAAUUUUGUUUGUUUACAAAAUUAUUGUAAAUUGUAAAUGUCUGAGUUCUCUAUGAUAUAUACAAUUAGUAUGAAAAUUGAUAUGUCAUCUGAUCAUUAGCCCUAACCAUUAAAAUCUAUAUCAUGUAUGGUCUGUUAAGGAAGGGAAGGGGUUUAAAUCAAAUUUUCUAUGCAGAUCCUACCAUUAUUUAGUACCAACUAGUAAAUAAUUUCGUCCAUAGCCAGAGAAAAUAGCGAAUGCAAUAAUGUACAUAGUUAGUAAAUAAAUCCUGAACUAUUUAAUUUUUAUAAAUAAAUUCAAAAAAUAUUUAAACAAUUAUGUUUUGUCGAGUGUUUUGGGUUUUUUUUUUAUGAGGUUUCGGAUUUGGUUUGUUUUAAGAAACAAAGGCAGUUUUGUAAUUUAUAGUAAGUUCAAAGCUUCUUUGUUAUAUUGUAAAUGGGUUUUCGGUGUGUUUCUAAAAUUCAUUUCAUGUAGUUUUUUUUAAUAGUUUGAGCUCCUAUAUUGGACAUAACAAUGAAUCCCCACCUUUUUUUUUUUUUAAUUAACUGGAAUGAUGACAAAUGCUUUAAAAGCAUAUAUUCUGUGGCCUUAAAAGCAUUAUUAUUUUGAAGAAACAAGGUGCGCACAAUGUCUUGUGUACCCCAGCAGAAAAGUUCAAACCAGAAAAUCCACUGGAUUUCCUUGGCUCAAAACCAGCAGCAACUGACGUAGUAGCCUCUGGUUUUUUCCCAAUAUUUUGGCCUUUUCUUUUUCUCAAUCAUGUAUCCAACUCAAGUCACUUAUUAUUUCCUUUCUAUAUAAAGAGACCCUCCAUGCCAAUUAUUUCAACUCAACCUUUCUCAAAAUUUGUUCUCUUGCAAAAGACCUAUCUUAUCAUAAUUUCAAUACAAAUUAAGGGGCUUACAUCCCAAGAAAAAGGAAAAUCAAGAUGAUGAGUGCAGCAACAGCAAGUAGGGCUUGGGUUGUGGCAGCCACAGUUGGAGUUGUGGAAGUGUUGAAAGACCAAGGGUUGUGCAGAUGGAACUAUCCCAUGAGACUGGUGCACCAGCAAGCCAAGAACCAUCUCAGGUCUUUUUCUCAGGCCAAGAAGCUGUCUUCUUCUUCUUCUGCCAUGGCUUCAAGCAUGAUCAUGAGAGAAGAGAAAAUAAAGCAGUCAGAGGAGUCUAUGAGGAAAGUGAUGUAUCUUAACUCUUGGGGUCCCAACUGACACCAACCAAAUUAAGCUUAGCUUAGCUUAAGGCCAUUGUAAAUUACUUUAAGGCAAAUGCUCUUACAAAUUUGGUAAAAUACAUUGGGCACUUAUGUUUUCCAAAUUCAGUUUUUCUUCUUGCUUGACUAAAGUGUUUAAUUUGGCACAGCUUCUUGGCCUUGGCCUAAUCCGAUCAUAAGAACAACACAACUUUAUUACUAAAUUAUUCACCCAAAGGAAAACUGAAACAAACUUUUCCCCAAAAAUUCUGGGCUGAAAAGAACAAAAUAGCCGCUGGUAUGGCCAAAAACCACAACCCCAGUGAAACCACCUCCACUCUCAUCACCCCCUUAGCUCUCUCUCUCUCUCUGCAUAUUUAUGGCUUCAGUUAGAUAGUCUCGAUGCUUAUAUAUGUCUAUCUCAAUACUCUCUCCAACUUACUGUAACAAAUUCUACUUUGUUCUUUAAAUUACUGGUAGUGGCCAUCAUUCAAAAGUUAAAAAAUGAGGUGGAAGAGCAAGGCUUGGGCUGUUUUGGGCACUGUUGUAGCUGUGGAGGAGUUGAAAGAAAAGAAUCUAAGCAAAUGGAGAUCCCUGCAGAGUUACCAACAUGCACUAAUUAACAACAUUGUGCCACUGUCUACACAAGUGGGAAAAUCUUCAUCUACAUCUUCAACAAUGGAGUCAAAGAAGAAAUAUUGCAAGCAGGGGACUCUGAAUCUGAAGCAAUCAGAAGAACCACUUAGACUAAUUAUGUACUUGAGCUGUUGGGGACCCAACUGAGCUGGAAAGAUAUGCUGCAUGCCCCUCCAUGUUUAUGAAAUCAUUACUAAGCAUUAUGUAUGUUUGUGUGUGUAUUUCAAGAUGUACACAUCCUGAUCUAUAAUCUUAUUAUCAUCAUAUCUUUGUAAGAACUUGUUCUAAAAAAAGAGGAAAUAAAAACUCUAUGCUUUUACUCUUAGGCCGUGUUUGGUGGGUUGAAUUAUAUGACAGAAUAUGAUUCAUAAUCUAGUAAAAUGUUUCCUAGACUAAAAACAAUCGAAUUGAAUUAUGUCCAAUCAAUUACUAUCCUGAAAUUAGAGCAUAUAAUUCAGUAGCUACUGUCAUAUGGUAGUGCUCUAAUCUCCAAGCAAUAAGCUCUUGGGUCCAUCAACUUAUUCUAGACUGUGGAACAAGAUACAAGGAACAGAAAGCAACUUUACGCAAAAGCUGUUUGAUUAUACCAUAGCAAGUUAGCAACUGUUGUUAUUGCCCCCAAAUCAAAUGAAAAAUGGUAUAUGUCAUUGUGUACGAAACAUGAUUUCAUUGAUUUGGGAUAUUGGAAAAGAUGAGAUGCCUUUCACAAGAGGGCCACAUGGGAGCAUCAGUGGUGGGUUUUCUGUGUCGUUAUCUUUCAUGGCACCACCAGAACAUGUUCUAAUGCUCUAAACAUCAUAGCCUAUUUUAAUUAUGAUGGCCUUAUGCCAUGCUCUCCUCUUUAAGCCUUUAUCAGAAUAAAAAUACAAGAAAGAAAAAAGGAAUCAUAAGAAGAUUUGAAAGAGAACUUUGAUUUGGUGCAAGUGUUAUCCGAAGCAAUAGUUCUUCCACCAAUGGGUAGCUAUAUUGUUGCUAUCUGUCAUUUUCUUUUGUUGUAAACCACUAUCAAGCUGUUAAUUAUUGUAAACCACUAAUCUACAGGAAGGGAUCCAGGUGAAAGGGGCGAGCUCACUAUUCUGGCCGACUAACCUAAUUCACGUCGAUUUUGUAGAUCUCUUUUAACGUUGAGAAUAAAAAUAUUAAUAGAUUAAGGGUUAAUUAGUCUAAAAUCCCGUAUUAUGUUUUUUUUUUUUUUUUGGGGGUCAAGAUAUAGUGCCAAUAUUUAGCCCAAAAGUUUCAAACUUGAAGCUCUCCUACCAACUGCCAGCCAACAUCAACAGGGAGAAUGAGUAAAAGUAACCACCGCCAAUUCCGACAAUCCAAAAAGUCCAGAGCGAAAGGUCUCAUUCAGCCGCAUAUGGCAUUGGCUAUCAUAAAGACCUUUCACAACCAGAGACACAACUAAAACACGCAUUGCACCAAAGCCUCAAUCUUUCAGCUUCAGCCUUCAAUUCGCACAAAACAAAAUCUCUCUUUUCACUUUUUUUCCAACUAUCUCCGGCGAAACCCAUUUUCCGGCUGCCACCGUGAAGCGAAUUUCCGGCGGGUGGGUCGAGAAUGGCUGUGGAAGCUGAGAAAUCUGGGCCUGAUGGGAAGCUGUGGAGUCUAUUCAAAAAUCCAUUUGGGCAGUCGAGAAAUGCCUCUUCCUCUUCUUCUUCUUCGUCGUCUUCGACCUUGUCUUCUAUGCACAAUGUUCAUCAGCUGGGUCAGACUCAUGAGUCUGUGGAGCGUGCGGCUCUUCAUUCUGCCAGUACGGUGUCGUAUGUGACCAAGUCUUUGCUUCCUGCUAGGAGGAGGCUCCGUCUUGAUCCUGCUAAUAAGCUCUUUUUUCCAUGUACGCCCCUUACCUUGUCUGCUUUAAUCAUCUUUGUUGUUUGUAUAAUGGUUUUGAUUUUGGUCAUCUAUUUCAUUUUCUGAGAAUUUUGAAGGUAAAGAGUGGAACUUUUGUUUCUUUUGGGGUGAGUAAUUAGUUGCAUGAUGUCUGUUUUUGAGCUUACACUGGUUUCAUUUGCCAAAUGGUUAUCUGGGUCUUCGACAUUUAGUACAUAGAGCUGCAUUCUUUGUUCUUUGAUUUGCUUAAGUUGCAUGAUCUUUUGAUUUCAUGAGUUAAAGACUUACAGUUGUUCCAAUUGUUAUGCUGAUCUGGUCGGUUCUUAUUGGUGUCUCUAUUUCUGAUAUUCUCUUUCUUUAGUUUGUUUCUGUUGCAUGAUGCAUCCAUUUGUCCAGUGUGGAGUGGUUUGAUUGAUCCUAAUAUGGGUUGUUCUUACAUUGUUAGCAUCACCCUGGAUUUCUUAUAAGAUGUUCACUCAGAUAAUAUUUGCUAAUCAUUAGAAAAGUGUAAUGCUUGCUCAAUUCCUUUGCCGAUUGAUGAUUCAAGCUAGUUAUGUUUUUCCUCACUCUCUGACUGUUUUCUCUGAAGAUGAACCUGGUAAGCAGGUGAAGAGUGCCAUUGGAAUUAAAAACACAAGCAAGUCUCAUGUAGCUUUCAAGGUAUCGAUUGACUCCUCGAGUCCCCUUUUUUGUUUUCCCCCUUAUUAAGUAUUUUACUUCUUUUACAUAUCAGAAACUAGUCAUAAACCAGUAUUGUGAUCAAAUUGGGACAACAUUUGAAUUGAAAAUUGGGGAUGACAGCAUUAGGAGUUUUCUGGUGUCAAUUUGAUCUGUUACGCUUAUUUCCCAACAGAACCAUCUAACUGCUUACAUGUUGGUUGUUUUUUUUUUGUUUAGUUCCAAACAACUGCACCAAAGAGUUGUUACAUGCGUCCUCCAGGGGGAAUACUUUCUCCGGGUGAAAGUCUUAUUGCAACUGGUAAUUCAUUCUUCAUGGUCUUCCCUCACGCACUCUUAUAGUCAUUUUUGGGUUAUUUUUCAUUUCCAUUUGCAAUAAAUAACAUGCUAGCUAUUUAGAUUUUAGUGAGUUAUCGUCUGAAAAUUGUAACUUGAUUGACAGUCUUCAAGUUUGUGGAACCUCCGGAGACCAAUGAAAAACUAGUAGACCAGAAGAGCAGGGUUAAGUUCAAGAUCAUGAGCUUGAAAGUGAAAGGAGAUAUGGACUACGUACCAGAACUGGUAUAAUUGCAGAUAUUUUGUAUAACUUCUACCGUAUCUUAAUACAUUGCUUUUCCACGAUAAUAGUUUUUUUUUAUUUUUCUAUGUAAAUGGAACCAAUAACUACUGGACUUUUACAUUCCCUCAAAAUAAGCAGAGAUAUUGUAAGUAGAAUUGAGAUAGCAGAACUGAGGUCAUUUUCUCUGUUAUCUGUAGCCUGCUGUGCCAAUAUAAUUAGUAAGUGAACGUUCAGAUGUCAUGUACUUCAUAGCAAAUGUUUGCAGAAAUUCUAAUUGGAACUUUCCUAUAAUUAGAACAUAUAUCUUCUACUCUGAAUCAGGUUGAUCUUACUAUAAAUCUCAUUGAUUCUUGAAAAGUUAUGUAUAUUUUUGUUUCUAUCACAAAUAGAAACCAGUAUGCAUCAUAAUUCCUAGAUAUUAAACAUUAACUGUUACAUGCAUUUAUGCAGUUUGAUGAGCAGAAGGACCAAGUUGUGGUUGAGCAGGUUUUGCGUGUUGUUUUCCUGGAUCCUGAACGCCCUACCCUUGUAAGUAGAUGGUGGAUACAUCUCUAACCUGUCAUUUUCCUGCCCUCUGCAUACUUUUUUUUAUUGUCUUAAUUUGGCCGCAGCAUUUUCACUUUCAAUUUGAUUUUUGUAAAGGCGAUGGAAAAACUUAAGCGGCAAUUGGCUGAGGCUGAGGCUGCCCUCGAAGCACGAAAGAAGCCUCCAGAAGAAACAGGGCCCCGAAUUGUAGGGGAAGGACUUGUCAUAGAUGAAUGGGUGAGGUGUUUGACAUGUUUUUGUUUCUUUUGAUAGAAUGAUGAUAUUGAGCUUUAUACAUUUCUUACUGUAAACAUUCUUACUUGUGGUAUGUAUGGUUUCCUUUGUAGAAAGAGCGCAGGGAAAGGUACCUAGCCCAGCAGCAGGUUGAAGGUGUUGAUUCGGUGUAGAGUUAUGUUCCUUUUUGUUUAGAUCAUUUCUUUCUCUAGUGUGGAAGUUUCUAUAUAUGAUUGAAUUGUCGCCUAUUCAUGUGUGGAAGACCGUUGAGCAAUCUUAAAGGUAAAUGGAAUGGAAGCAUGUUUCGUUGUGGAUAGAUGUUACAUUUUUGUUUCUUGUUUUGUUUAAUUUUUGCUUUGUCCUUUUUAUGAGAAAAAUUAGUCUGAAGUUCUGCUUCAGGUCUCCUAAUGUACUUGUAGAUAGCAUAAAUGACAAUAGUGAUUUUUUACAGAACUUAUAAUCUCUGUUCUAGCUGGCUGUUUUGGCUCACUUCUCUCUUGAGAUAUCCAACACAAACACCUCUCCAUACGGCUAAUUUACUUACCAUAAGUUUUCUUCAUGAAUUUUGUGUUCUUGUAGAAAUGUUUGAUGCAGUUUGGGUUGUUUUCUCACAUAGAAUGGAAUGGGGUUAUUCAAAGUUUUGAGAAGUUCGAUCGCUUAUCAAAUUUCAUCAGGCAUGCAGUAAUCAGGUUUUUUUAACAUUUGCAACUCCAAUAAUGAGAACUCUGAAGAAGUGGCAAGUUGUCAAAGGAACACGGUGAUAGUACUUAAAUUUCAAUAAUUUAAUUGAAUGGUCAAAUAAUAUCGGAUUGAAGUGAUUUUUUGUAGAAAUGAUCUUUGAAUGAAUAUCUACAAAAUAGACGGUUUGGAUUAGUGAAAUACUAUGCAGAGUGGGUCCUACAAGGGUAUUUCUCACAUAAGCUUAUUUGAAAAAUCCCUCAACGGAAGCUCUAUAUAUAUAUAUAUCCCCCUUUUCUUUGGUGAGUAUUACAAUUAUUUGCUCCAUGGAAGUGAUUAUAUGGAUUAUGGGUAAGUAGGCAGGUACAUAACAACUCUGCUGCCAUGCUGGCUUACACUUUACGGAGCAUGAUCUCUGUGUGUGUUUUGUCUGAAAGGAUCCUGAAUCAGAUUACUACAACUAUUAUUUGGUAUUAUUCAGAGUUGACAGCUUCAAACUGAGUUGAGAUGUCAAGAAUCUUGCUCCAUUUCUUAAUUAUGUAGAAUAAUGGAAACUGGAUUGAGAUCUGAGUAUAAUACUUAUUUUAUGGUCCACUAACAAUAAAUUAACAUGUUAACCAAAACUUAUCCAUCAAAUUAUAUGAAGAUAAAUAUUGGGGAACCUUGGCCAGGGCUUUUUAUACUGUGACAUCCAAUGGAAACACCAUUUCUUGGUAGCAGUAUAUUUGCUUAGCUUUUUGUCUGCACGUCUAUGAUCUUUGAGAUAUAAACAAAGAAAGAGAUUUAUAUUUCAGGCAUAAAGAAUAUGUGUGCAGUUACUCUAAUAAAAAAAUAUUAUAUGAUGUUGUGGAGAAUAAAGAGAAGAUCUUAUCAACUACUUUGUCAAUGCAUUGGAAUACAAGCCAAUGACACUGGAUGGAUACAGCUGCCUGUAAUUAUAAAUUAAUUUCCAACUAGGUCUAGUACAAUAGAAAAAUAACUUUAAUUUGCAUCUUAUAAGUCUUAUGUUCGAAUUCUCGUAACGUUUUAAUUGUAUGUAUAAGAAACCUUUAUUUCCUGUAAUUUAGACUGUAACUUGUAUUUAAAAAAAAAUCUCCAACCAAGUCGUAAUCCCACUUUUAUAAUAUAAUUAAUAAAAGAAUUGGAUAAAUACCUGCCUGUCUGUAAUUUCAAAUUAAAAAAGUAACACUAUCUACGCUCUUUAACCCUUUUUUGGAAGAUCUUUAAGUUCCGAUCCUACUGAAAUUUGUUUAUUAAUUCUUGCUAAAGCGUAAAUUAUGAAACCCACAGAGAAUUAAAAAUCCAUAAUCAGCAUUAGUGGAUUCGAGCCUUACUGUUUUGGUAUGCUGCACAUCGCCAUCUCAGAUUCUCAGUGUAAAAUAAAAUCUAUCACGGAAGUUCAAACAUACGAUACCAUAUGGUUUUUUAAUUUUUGUUUUUAGAUUCUCAUUUUUUUGGCUGAAGUCUGAAAGCGAUUAUUAUAAAAGCACUAUUUCUAUAUGUUCCGUUCCAGCUCUUACCCCCACUCUCUCUCUCUCUGAUAAUGACCCGGGCAUACUAUUAUUGCAACUACAAUUAUUAUGUUCAUGAAAGCUGAUAGGUGGGUGGACCUCUCCCUGUGAAGGCGACCCAUUUGCUAUAGUGAUAAGAAUAAACAAAUAUCCAUUGGCCUAUGGAUAUGAGGCAAGUUUACAUUUUGAUCCCCAAUCAUUGUAUGAAAUCAUCCUGGUUUAUACAAUCCUUGCAAAAACCCUAUAUCCAGCAACAACUUACAUUCUGGAAGAGUUUUUUCAAUGGAUCACAAGGGUUAUGUUCUCUUCAUCCUAAUAUAUGUUCUUAUAUUAUUAUUAAGCUCGUAUGUUAGAUUAGAUUUUGAUUUUAAUCUUUCGAUUUCGUAUAUCAUUCACGUAUAAUGUAUUUACGAAUACCCUUAAAAUAGCAUAUCAACGUGAAUAAUAGGCCUAAAUUAAAACCGUAAUCUAACAUCAAGGUUUUAAAAAGAUGAAAAUUUUAUAUAUUUUGUUAUUGACAAGCUUGGAGGAUGAUAUGAUACCCUAUAUUUUGAAACUUGAGAUGACGAUGCCGUACAAAACUGAAUUGGUAUGCUACAUCAGCGUGAUGUACACCGUACAAGGUACAACAAAAACCGUCUUGGAUUCAUAUGAAGAAAUAUGAAUUAUGGAAAUGUUGUCGGCCUAGUUUCAAUCAAAAGAAUAAAAAGGGUAGCCGUUCGAUUCCGUAAUUGCAUCCAAUCUCAUCCGUCGAAAAUGGUAUAAAGCUAAAUACUAGCUAGAAACAAAACAUAAUUAGUUUAUUAUUCAUUUUAAUUUGUAACGCCGAAGACGAAGGAUAAAUAGAAGAAGAGUCCAGAGCCCGCUGCAGGGGACCCCACAGCAGCACGUGAUGCCCAUGCCUGCCCCACCCGAUGGCGCCAAAACGCAUAAAAGAGGCCCAACCCGCUCACGUGUCCCUCUCCCUCCUCCAUAUCAAAUCAUUUUCCCAUCACUAUCGAAAAGACAAAAUUGCCCCUGAGGCGACAACUUACUAUUAUACGACGAUAAGUCGUGGUAGACGACGACGUGUGGGCAGGCCGGCCCCAUGCUGAAGAGGACAUAUGCGUACUAUUCCGAGAGACAGAGAGAGAGAGAGAGAGAGAGAGGAAUUGGAUCCAUGAUGCUGAGUCAUCUGAUUCUGAUGUCCUCUGAGAAUUCGGAUAAGCUCGACACCUGUUCUUGCUCAUUGGCUCUCCUUCUCUUCGUCUCUCUUUUAUAUCGUUGUUUCUCGCGAUAACUCUAGCCCCGUUUUAUCUAUAAUUUGCAGAAUUAUUGUAAGCAAACUUUCUUUGUCAGUCUCCUAUAAUUAAACAUAUCUCAUUACUACUUUUCUCCUAGUCUUUGUUUUGAGCUACUUUAGUCUAAUUGAAGUUGGAAAUAACAGAUUUGUAAUAUCUCGUCAACAUCAAAGAAAGGGAAAUAUAACAACUAGAAAAUUAAAUAAUUUGUAUCAAUUUUUUGGUCAAUAGAAAGUAGAAUUUUAGAGUUAAAAGAUGUGGUUUUGUUAGAAUGGGAAAUACUAUUAGAUCAAUAAUUAAUUAUUAGUUUUAUUUAUAUAUAAAGUAAAAAACAGAUAAUGAUAAAACAUUCAAAAUACCAAAAAAUACUUUUGAUUAAUGCAAACAUUAAUAAUUAAAAUUAUUAAUUAAAUUAGAAUAAUAUGGUAAAUUCACACUUUUUUAUACUAAAAAAUUAAAAUUAAAAAAAAUCAAAUAAUUGAUCCUUUUUUUAUGGAACACAAUUACCUAUUUUUUUUUAAUUCUAAAAUAAAUUUGAUUUUUUUAAAAAAAGAACCUCUCAUAAACGAGGAAACGUGUGGGAAAAAGUUGAUAUAUAAUUGAGUCAUCACAUUUUAAAACUAAAGGUUAAGAUCAAAUUUAUUUAUCUUGAUUUAAUGAUUCAAUCAUUCACUUAUUUUCUAUUUUAUCAAUUAGAAAUGGAGUCAAAUCAAACUUAAAGAAAAUGUUGAAAAAGUGAAAAGAGACAAAUUCACUGACGUAAUUCAAUUUUGAGUAAAUUCAUUAUCUUAUAAAAGAAAAAACACAUUAUCUACUUACACAAUCAAAUUCUCGAGAAAUUGAGGAGAAAAUCAAAUUGCGGAGUUUGGACACAAUAAAACAUCAAAAUUAUCGAUACCUCCAAUCCAAAGAAUUGAGAAAACGCCAAAAGAAGCUGGGCCUCCACGCCCAGCCAGUCACCACUUAUCUAUCAAAACCAUUUCCGCUCUCUGAAAAACCAGUGGUUUUUCAGCAAACCCGGAUUCAUUUCCUUCCAUCUUUCCCUAUAAAUUAACGCCAUUGUCCCCUUAACUCACUCUUACGGACUUCACAAACACCAAAAACAACAGCAAAAGCAAUUACAACCCUUAAUUUCAAUUUCAGUUCCAGAGUUUCAGAGUCUAGCAAUCGAAGAUGAACCAUUUGAACAGAGUUUGGAUGGCGGCGAGCGUGGUCGUGGUGCAGGGCCCUGCCGACCAGGGGCCUAAGUGGACAUCCGGUCUUAAAUCCUUCCAGCUAAGCAGGAGGAGAUGCUUGGGUGGUGCCGGGGACGCUUCGGAUCUCCGCCCAUUGUCCGGCGCAGUCGGGUCGGGUUUCUCCCAAGUUUGUGAGGAGAGACGGAACCAGGCCGACGAGUCUAUCCAAAAAGUCAUGUACUUGAACUGCUGGGGUCAGGGCUGAGGUCGGCGGCGAUUGGAAUUUUCCGGCGCAGAAUGAUUGGAGUUUUUAACUCGGGAGUUGCCGUUUACUCUCGGAGAGGUGUGGUUGGGUUAAAUUGAAACGGGUAACUCCACGAUUGAGUUGACGCGGAUGGAAUCUUUCUUUGUAAAUUGUACAGAAAAUCUUGAAUUGUGGAGAUUUAGAGGAAAACCAUGAAUAAUAGAUGGGACCUUUUAUUUUCAUCUCUUUCUUUUUAUUUUUAUAUUUAAAUUUCAUGAAAGGAACUUUCAAUUGAUCAACAAAAAAAAUUUACAAAACCCAAGUUCAUGUUACAAAUUAAAAUUUACAUAACUGAAUAAAAUGAAUUGACUAAUAUUAAUUGGUGUUUAAUUUAGUUGUGCAAUUAGGUGGUAAAAGUUUUCACAACAUGUAUAAAUGUUGUUGAUUAACCAGAGUUUUCCAUUUAUUAUAUUGUAAAAUAAUAGUCG